rnacentral:lncRNA from 1 species
CUCUGAUUGGCUAGAAAAGCUGGAAACGUCAUCACACGCUCAAGCUAAAUGGUCAGCACUUAUAGCCAAUCAGAGGCGAAGGAGGGGGGGACCUUCCCUUAACAACUGCUUGGUUCAGGAGCUGAAACUGUACCACGGUCGCUGAUUGUUUUCAGUUCUGAUUAGACACUAGUGUUGAGAUGGCUUUCUGUCAUGAUAGCAUGUACUGAGUCGGAGCCAGUACCAGAUAAGAACAUGAAACUAUGGUAACAACCGUUAGCUUACGUUAGCACAGAUGAAAGUUAAAACAAAGACGUUUAGCAAACCGUUAAAGCACACAAACCAUCGUCAUAUGAGGAAUCUGAUGCUAUAACUCUCCACAAGUUGUCCUUCAGGUCGUUAUCUUUGUAAUAUUUGUGUCUUUUAUCAAAAAGUUCUCUGACACGCAAACUAUCAGCCGGUUGGAUAUGUUGGAUAUACCGUUGAAUCAGACAUCGUAACAACACACAAUCUGAUUGGUCAGAAGUGGACACAGUAUGCGAAACUUCAGAAAAAUGACCAUGAUAUGAGAAAAUAAAUGCUGCAAUAUCACAGGACGAGAAAACCUCGCUGAUGUGAACGCUUGUAUUGACAGGAUACGGGUUCGAAAAAAAAUAUUGAUGUCUGAAAAAAUCGCAUGACAAAACGGUUCGGGUGUGUAAGGACCUUUAAUCGGGAAAAGGCGAUAAUUCAGUUUUCAUGUCAUGGAAACGUACUGACAGAGAUUCACUACUCAAGUAAGCCAGGGUUAUCUUUUGGUAUAACUAGCUUCAUUUACUGCACAGAGAAACUCAGAGUCACCAGGUUCAAAAUAAUGAAGUAAACAAGAGUGAAGCUCAUGUGUAACUUAAUAUUUACAGUGAAACUCAGACUCUGUGAUCAUACUGCAUUGAAUUUCAUUUAAUAGUUUUCUUCUUCUCCUGCCAGGGUAUGGCCCCUGGGUAAUUUAUAUUUUACUGUGAAACUGAGACUAACCAAGUUCACACCGCUGAACCUGUUAGAGGGAACACUUUGUGUAAUUAAGGGUUGACAGUGAAACAAAACUUUACCAGUUAAUACUGAUAAAGCGAACCAAGUAAGCCCUCUAGGUUGCUUCCUGUUUACUGCGAAACUGAGACUAAGCAGAAACAGUUGGUUUGCAGAGUCAGGUUUACUUUCUUUUUACAGUGAAAUUCAGACUCAAUGAGAUUCACUACUCAAGUUAGCCAGGGUUAUCUUUCGGUAUAACUAACUUCAUUUAGUGCACAGUGAAACCCAGAGUCACCAGGUUCAAAUUAAUGAAGUAAACAAGAGUGAAGCUCAUGUGUAACUUAAUAUUUACGGUGAAACUUAGACUCUUUGGUCUUACUGCAUUGAAUUUCAUUUAAUAAUGUUCUUAUUCUUUAGGGUAUGGCCCCUGUGUUAUUUACAUUUUACCGUGAAACUGAGACUUGGCACCAACAGUUGUUUGGGAAGCCUUUAGGUAACUUUCACACCACUCAACCUGCCAGAGAGAGCAUUUUGUGUAAUUUAGGAUUAACAGUGAAACAAAGACUACUGAUGAAGUAAACCAGAGUGAUUCCUCUAAGUUACUUCCUGUUGACUGUGAAACUGAAACCGACCAGAAACAGAGAACCGUGUGCAUUUAUUCAGUUUCUGAACUGAGGCUUUUUCACUUUGGACCUGAACUCCCAGUCUCUUCUCAUGGUUCUAGUUAGACUUUCAACAAUGGAGGACACAAAGUUUUGACCCCAACCUCUUGACCUUUAACAGAUAACCUUGAAGCUGUUCAUUGUUGUGUAUCAUUUCCAACAGCUAAUAGAGUGAAAACAGGACAUCAUGAGGUGGUCUCUGCGGACCUGGACCCCCCAGGACAGACUGUGAUAGUGUAAUACAUUCACACAUGUCCUACACAUAAGUGUCCUUUCUUAUCUGCACUGUGGCAUCCAUUCAUGUCAUACCCAGGUGUGUGUCUGUCAAUGACAGCACCUGUAUAAUUAAUUUGUGAGGACAGUUAUGAAUAUUAAUGAUGUGUAUUCAUCAAUAUUCACUCCUCAUCCAUACAUGGACUAAAGCUUUAGUAAAGUCAUAAACCGCGCUGAGUCGUAUUUUGAUUUGAUGGUUAAUACCGCCGCCGCCACCGCUGUUACUCAUCCUCACAUAAUCUUCAGAGGAAAAGCAUCAGACUGUGAAGGUUUUAUGAAAGCCCAUCAUUUUCAUACAAGGUCAGCUCUCACAGCGCUUACUGCAGGAUUUCUAAACCUAUAGGACAUUGGUAUUUUAUUAUUAUUAUUAUUAUAUAGUCAGGCUUUUUAUCUUGAGUGAUGUUCAAAUGUUUUACACAUUAUUCAAAUAAAGACAGUCCAAGUGGUCCUUGUUCAUUCUGCUGCAGGAUUUCACUACAGAGAGAGAGAAGUCAUGUUUUAUCCUCAAUAACAGCCCGAUGAUAAUUAUAACAAUAGAAUUACAACUUGCUGGUUGUGUCAUGAAAUGGACAAAGAGGUAGAGGAAGUGGUGGACUGAUUCACACUGAUCGUGGAUUUGAAAACAACAUUAAGACCUUCUGCAUCUUUAGGUUUCUGCUGGUUAAACAUUUACACUUUCUAAGUGUUCUUUCACCUGACAGCCCGACUUCAAACCCUGGUCAAGAAUAAUGAUAACCCUCUAAAUUAACAUCAGAGCUGUCUGAAAAACCAUCAUACACUCUAAAAACCCCUGGGUUAAAAAUAACCCAACUUGGGAUGUUUUUAACCCAACACCAGGGUUGAAAAGGGACCGACUACUUAAUGGGUUAUUUUGACCCAGAAUGUUGGCUUGCUCAAAUUAACCCAAAUUUUGGGUUGACUCAAUAACUCUUUUUAAGGGUCAGGUUAACCUAAUCUUCGAGUUAAUUUGACUCAUGAUCUUGGGUUAAAUUGAUAUAUGCAUUUGGGGAGCUUUUUUGGGAGCUUUGCUUUUACAACCUGUACCCUAUUUUGUUGUUGUAACUGAUUGUCAGUUAGAUAAAAGUACAUGGGAAAAUAGUUGUUCCAGUAGCCCAUUUCUUAUCACAAUUCCCUGGUUCCUCAGCAUGUGACACAGACCUUGUUCACCGUCUGAACCAGUUUGGCUUUUGGUGGUAUUGCACUCAUGUUUAUGAGGUAGCGCUAAGGGUCUUGCCAAAGGACCCACACUGGUAGAUGUUGUUCGCUCCUUACAGAUGUGUCUCAUGUGGGAUUCAUGCAGGGCCAGUUUGCGCCUACAGCCAAUCCGCCACAGACCACCACACAUCCCUCACAAUCAUACACCAGUGGAGAACACACACUGGGAGCAAGGUGGGUUAAGUGUCUUGCCCAAGGACACAACGGACAGACUCGGUAUAGUGAGGAAUCGAACCACCAACCUUCUGGUUAUUGGACGACUGCUCUACCUCCUGAACUACUGCCACCCCUUAACAGUUCCCUUUCCAUUUUACUGACGGAGAAUAAAACAUCGAGACAGAGAUUACAUUAAAGCAGUCGUUCAACAUAUCUGACCACAGCACACAUCAGCUAACGUGUUAGCUUGCCACGUUUGAGGCAAUGUACUUUAUGCGACUAACAUUGGCCAACCAUUAGCUCACUCACCUACCAAUCGAUUCCUGAAGGCAGAAGCUGGUACACAACAGUGCUUCACAAACUUACAUCUUAACAAUAAAAUGAGGCUCUAUAUAAUAAUAUUCAGUCAUCUAGAUGGUAAAACAAUAAUGGGAAUGUAACAAACCUUGAUUUGUACGUCUCCUCGCUUCAGCAGUUGUGGCAUCAAUCUGGUGAGUGGGUGUUGCUUUGUUUCAAAAGCCCAAACGUCUACCCACUGUGUUGGGUAGUCCACAAUAAACCAACAAAACCGUAUAGAAAUUACAACCCAACAGCUAAUAACUCUGUUCCCAACAUAAAAAACCUUUCGAAUUGUGUACUCAGAAUACCUAACUCCAUGAAAAUAACCCAAAUAAACUGACCAACAGGCUCAACCUAGUGGUUCGGUUGAAAAAAACAACCCAACAUUUUUUUGUGUGUAUUAACCAUUUAAUAGACACUCAGAUCCCCUCAUAUACACAACUAAAACUGCAAACCUGGGUCCAACUCAGAGAAAUGUCUCUCGUAGUAAUUCUAAAGUCUGAGCUGGGUGAGGAUAUUCUGGGACAAAUGUAGGCGCAUGUUUACUGAGAAACAACCCUCACAUCUUUGGUUCCUCACGCAGUUUGCAGCACGCCUGUUUGAGCACGUAUAUACAUGUGAUCGUUUAUUCCCUUUUAAAGCUUAAUCUGAUUAUCUAAAGGUUUCUGACGGGUCAAAUAAGUGUUCUGACUUUUUCGCCACAAGGGAGCUGAAUUUGUUCCUCGUGCUUUGUGAACAUUUCAUGUGCGCCAAAGAAAACCGCAGACCAAAAGGGCAUCGCCUGCAGAGGGGAGGCUUCACUUCAGCUGACAGGGAGGUAUAAGGUUUGUGAUCUAGCCCAGAGCCAGACCCUGCUGAGCCCAAAAUGUGAAGAAAGGAGUUUAAAAAGGAGCCAAAAAUAACCGAGAAGAAGCAUAUUAAAACACGUGGUUAUUAAGAUGCUCAUUUUGGCGUGCUCAAAAUGAUGUUUCCACUUCCUCCAGUUCAUACUUUAAUUAGAGAGAGACCAAAAACAGCAGAGUCCCAGGAGCCGCUUAGUCUGAUGAAUUUAUGCUUUUCUGCCCGAGUAAACCCUCGGACCUCUGGGCUUCAGCGUUUCUGCAGAAAAUUCCCCUUUUCAGAACAGACGGCUGUAGAAGAACAGGUGAGGGGAAGAAAUAAAAAAAGAAAUUAUUAUUUUAACAAGACAGGACAGAAAAAUACUGAAACCAACAUGAUCAUUGAUUUAAAAUGUUGAUUUAGCCUUUAAACAUGUACGGGUUCAGUACAGAGAUCAAACGGUGACUCAUAUAGUGACUCAUCAUUCGCAGCAUGAGUCAGCAUUAUCCCCUUAAAUUCUUUAAAUUUAUAAAACUAAAGAGGAACCCUGAAAUAUCUCCAAACCUCUUCACUGGCGUGAAACAGAAACAGACUCCAGAAAGAACUUCUGAUGUGGACUGACAUCUGUCAUCACUCUGAGUGAAGAUCAUUUAACAUCCGUCUGUGUCGGUCCAAUCAGAAGGCUGUAACCACGGUAACCAUAGGUCCCCGUCCCACCAGGACGUCCCAUUUUCAGGCUCCAGUGAAUAUCAUUAAAACACUCAUAAUGCCUCCAUGAAGCUGGUCCCAGGACCGGUUUGGAGCUGAGGCCGACCAAAACAGUCGAAGAUUAGCACCAUAAGAAAGACUCACGUAUGUAAAGGGCUGGAGGCGGGGCUCAAAGGGCCAAAAUAACCUCCCAACAUCUUGAGAUGAUUACCAUCACCUGAAACGUAACUGAUGUUUGUAGAAACCCUGACCAGCAGCUCAAAAGUUCUCAAAGUUCGGAGUAACACCUGGAAUCAGAGCUUUUCUAUCAUUGUGAAUACGGACAGCAGGCGAGAUGUUUAUGGUCAACUUCUCCUGAAGACAGUUUGGUCCGUGAUGUUUCCAAACUGCAACUACAAGGAUAAAGUUUGAUAUAUGUGGAGCUACAGAGCUGUCUGAACUCUUCAUUCAGUGUUUUAAAUCUAAUUUCAUAAAGUUUAUUUUAUACUUGAUAAUUAGGGGUUAGUGACUAGAAAAAGGACUUUAGUUUUUAGGGUUGUUUUUUAAACAGAGCAAGUUUCCUCCAGGGAUCCAUCAGUGUGUUGAUUUGUAUUUAACAGGAUCCGUUAACAGUGUUCGACCAUGGACAAAGAAACCGGUUUAUAGACAUCUAAGAACUCUGACCAGCUCUGAACCAGCACCAGAACCACCCUAGAGGGAUAGAGGGUUUAAUAUGUCCUGAUAAGCUCUGUUUAUUUAGUUUUCUCCUGGUUUUAUUUUAAUGUAUUUUCUGUGUUUCCUUUAGUGUUUCUGUUCCCCUGUAGUCCAGUCUUGUGAGUUUUUGGUUUGUCUUUGACCCUGUUUCCCUCCUGUUCUCUGUGUUUUAUUCUUUAGAUCAAUUUUAAGUGUUUAUUUCCUGUUUUAUUUUGUAGUAGUUGAUUCCUUGUGUUUCCUGUUUUAUUUUGUAGGAGUUGAUUUCUUGUGUUUCUGGUUUUAGUUCCCUAGUUUUCCCUCCUUUGUGAAUCACUCAUCAGUCUCCCCUGUUGCUCGUUUACCUGUGUGUAUAUACAGUCCCUGUCUGUGUCUGAAAUGGAUCCCUAACCCCUAUAUAGGUGACUUUAUGGGGGUUAGCGCCAUUUUGAGGGGUGUCCCAAACCUGAGUGAUCAAUUCCAGUGCCCCACAUAGGCGACUCAAAAUUUCCCAUAAAGCAUUGCAAAAUGUAAUGACCAUCCGAUGGUCACUCACCGAUGGUAGGCAUCCCGUCAUGCAUUGGGUCUUGCCAUGUAGUGUCCGAAACCUCCAGUGAUUGGGUUCACUACAUAGUCAACUAUAUAGUGAAACCCCAUAUUGGGGUUAGGGGUUAGGGAUUGAGUGAUUCAUUUUAGACACAGCCUUAGGUCGCUUUCACACCCGAUCAAGCGGACUCGGUUCAAUUGGGGAGCUGAAAGUCGCAACAUCGUUGCAUUUAUCACUUGCUUCAGAUCUGCUUUCACACUGUGAUUUCUAAAGCGCACAGAACUUUCCGAGCAGCAUUACGUGGUUGAAAGGGUCGAUUGGACAGAGUAGGAGGGGUAUGUAACCUCACGGAUUACAAACAGGGGUGGACUAGCCAUCUUGUAUUGUGCUUCGUCACAUUAUUUUAUGGAAUGCUACAACGUCAAUGAACACAACUGGUUCUAUAAUGCUAUCGUAGCUUGUCAGGGAUUGAUCCUGUUAUUUUUCUAACUUUGACGAUCUAACAUGUGACAACAUAUAAGCUCAGAGUGUAAGGACUGUGACUGUUGGUAGUUGUGAUUUGAUUUUGUUUGAAUAUGCCAAAUUGUGAAUUUAUGGGUUAUUGUUGUUCAGACAAUUUAGCUAAGCUAGCUAGCAACUGCUAAUGUCAGCGGUCACGUGCUGCCAUAGCAACAAGUGACGCCGUGCUUCCUCUACCCAAGAUGCACUGCGUAUGCACUGCGUAUAGCGUCACUACGUACAUUUGGUCCUGUGUUUGGUCCGGUGAGCUUUCACACUGCAUACAACCGAACCAGGGUUCACUUGCAAGCGAACCGAGACCCACGUUUUCAGGCGGACCAGAGUUCACUUGUUUGGUCCACACCAGAGUUCGGAUGAGCUUUCACACCUGCCCAAACGAAGCAGACUAUCCAAGGAAACAAACUCUGGUCCGUUUAAAGCAGACCAAACAGCUCUGGUGCGAAAGCGACCUUAGUCAGUUCAUUGUAUGUCCAUGCCUCUGUGUGUCUCCCAUGUCUCCAUGUGGUUUUUCCCCCCAGUACCUUUGCUUUUGUUGGAUUUUGGGUUUUUUGAGUUGGACAUUGAUCAGUGAGUUUUUGUUGCCUAUUAUUUUAGUUCCUUUUAAAGUAAAUACUUUUGUUGAUCUGCAAUUUGGGUCCUUUUCCUUUUUGGUUAACUUCAGAUCGUGACAAAAAAUUACCUCUCAACAUCUUGAGAUGAUGACCUGUCACCUGAAACACAACUGCUGUUUAGAAAUCCUGACCAGCAGCUCAGAGGUUCUCAAAGUUCAGACUAACACCUGGAAUACGAGCGUUUCUGUUGUUACACCAAGAACACCAAGAAACAUACACCAAGAAGGCAUUUUAUCAUUUAAAAAACAUAACCCAAAGCAGAGACAUUAAUUCAUGUUUUUAUCACUUGUAGAAUAGAUUAUUGUAAUACCCUCCUUUCUGGUCUCCCCAAAAAGAACAUUUCACACCUGCAAUUAUUGCAAAAUUCAGCUGCAUGGAUGUUAACAAGGACCAGAAAGAGAGAUCACAUUACACCGAUUUGAAGGUCUCUGCAUUAGGUUAAGGUUGUUCAUAAGGUUCAUAAGGUUGUUUUAUUGUUUUUUAAAGCUCUUCAUGGUUUUGGCCCGUCUUAUCUAUCUGAUCUGUUUUUAUCUUAUGAGUCAGAUAGAGUCUUCAGGUCUUCAAGAAGUUCUCUGUUAACAUUACCUAAAGUCAAAACCAAGACAUACUGUGAGGAACCUUUUUAUUACUACGAUCCCUGUCUAUGGAACAGCUUACCUGAAGACCUGAGGACUGCACCUAAUCUUAAUGACUUUAAAGCAAACUGAAAACAUACCUUUUUAGUUUUACUUUAAAAUAAAUUCUAUAUCAUGAACUUAAAGUGUUUUAGCAUUUAUCUCUUUCUAGUUUUAAAAACAGGAUCGUCUUUUAUUGAGCUAUUUUGGUGCUCUUAUUUUAGUAUCUUUUACUGUUGUUUUUAUUUCAUUUUAUUUAUUAUUUCUUCAAUUUCAUUCUAUGUUACUUUAUUUUUAGAUUUUAACCUAAACCUCCAGUGUUUCCUUAUCUUUAAUUUUAAAAUGACGUUUCCUCAGUGCGCACAUUCCUGUUUUCACAAAAUCAAGCCCUCUUUAAGUUUAUGCAUUUUAAUCCUGUUUUUGUUGCAAUUAGAUCUUUGGGUGGGAAUGAGGGGUUGGGCUUGGGUAGAUUUGGGUAUUCUUUGUUUCUUUCAUUCCCUUUUCUGUGUAAAGCACUUUACGCUACAUGUUGUGUAUGAAAAGUGAUAUAUCAAUAAAGACUGACUGACUGACUGAUUGUAAAUGUUAGCUUAGCUCACGGGCGGUAAUUCAAACUCAAACUUAUCUAAUUAUAUUUAGAUUGUACAAGUGUAGAUCUCUUGGUAUAUAAAGAUUCAUAACCUGAUAACCUGCGUUUACUCAUGUCACUAAUGUGCAGAAGACACCCAGCUCUUUAUGUCAUCCCUAAACUCUAAUGUCAGUCUUUAAUCACACCAGAGUUCAUACACUGUUGCUCACAGUCAGUAAAAACUGACCUCCUGGAUGGUCUGCAACUCCCACCUGUCAAUCAAAGAGGCCCCGCCCCUAAUUAUACAUAUUUAUAAUCUAAUGUAAACAGUCAGGGCCUCCUCCACUCAUGACCUCUCGUUUAUUCAUCAUGAAUAGAAAGUGAAGUCAUCGAGACAGAGGCUGUGUCUCAUUUCAGAGACCGCAUCGACCUAAGUGCCCUUCUGCACCGUCGAACGGUGCAUUUGAAGUGUGCAUGACGUCACGACGGUGCGAACGGUGUCCCGUUUGGCACGAGAUGCUAAAAAAUGCUAAGCGCGCUUAGCAUGUUUUCAAGCGUGCAUUUAUCCACGCUUUCGUGCCGUCGGUAUCCCAGAAUCCUUUGCGUGCCGCUGCACAGCUGCGCAUUUCAGGUGAGAGGCUGGACUCGCUUGGAGACGCAGCGCGUCUUCAAAGAAAUUACAAGCAAUCCAAAAACAGCAGACAGUCAGCUCAGGCUGUAUGAGAGCAUGAUCUCUGAACUCACUAAAAUCUGUAAACCAAACAUUAUAGAUUUAGAGACGAACUGAUCCGCUCUGCUUCAACUAUCAAAAACAUUAGAAAUGAGAAAGCUGACAAAACUACAGCAGAGUAUCAGGACAACAUUGAGGUUUUUUUCUUUUAAGAUUUAGAGAUUAAAGUUGUAAAUUUAGGAGAAUAAAGUCAUACAGUAAAUAAAGUCAUAAAGCUGCUUUUGUGGAGGGGGAAAUGACUGAAGCUGGUCAUCUGCAGGGUUAUCUGUGGAUGUAUCAGCGGAUCAUUCAGAGAGAUUUUGUGGUUUCUGAAGAAACAAUCAAACUGAUGAUGAUGAUCAACAUUUGUGAUCCAGAGGGAGUCGAGCUCCGACGAGCACCACGUCUCUGACACCGGCCGUAGCCUACACCUGCAGAGACACCAACACCUUAUUAUGGCAUAUGGAUUCAUAUCAUAAAUUAAAGCUCAAUGUCAUUCACGGAUAUUUACGGCUGCAUUGACAGAUAUAUCCUCAGCAUAUUCAUUUCUGCCUCCACAAAAGCAGCGAUUUCCUUCAAGUACACCAGUUUUUUUCCCCGUGGAAAAGACGUAUUUCUCAUAUAUUCUUUUUUUAAAUUUUUUUUUCUUUAUACUUAUGACAAUGUGAUGCUGAUGUGCCAGAGGAUGAAGUAUCUCCUAUCCUCCUUCUCAAUAGGGCCCUCAUACUCCUUCAUACAAAACAAUCAUUGGAUUAAUUUUGUGGGAAUGAUCUGUGCUUGUAUGUAUCUACUAUUUUGUGUCUGUGCAAGGUCGCACAAUUAAAACAAUACAUGCUGCGCUCCGCAGCUUUUUUCUAAUCAUUCGUGACGUAAGCCUGAGGGCGGGGACAUUUGGAGACCUUCGGAGGACUUCCUGGUGGAGUUGCCAAAUGUCCCCGCCCUCAGGCUCGCGUCACGACUGACUUAAAGGAAACCCGCGGAGCGCAGCAUUUAUUGUUUUAAUUGUGCAACCUUGCACAGACACAAAAUAGUAGAUACAUACAAGCACAAUUCAUCCAAUGAUUGUUUUGUAAGAAGGAGUAUGAGGGCCAUAUUGAGAUUUAAGACUUUAAGGACUUCGAGAUUUAAGUCGUGAAUUUACGAGAAUAAAGUCAUUAAUUUAUGAGAAUGAAGUCAUAACCUGUUAUUUCAGAGAGACUUGUUAAAAUUAGGGCCAUGAAGCAUUUGAAGGAACUGUGCUUCAGUAUAGGUUUCACAAACAAGGAGAUUCUUCAUCCUCUGGCACAUCAGCAUAACAUUGUCAUAAGUAUAAAGACUUUAAGAAGAAUAUAUGAGAAAUACGUCUUUUCCACGGGGGAAAAAUAUUGGUGUACUUGAAGGAAAUCGCUGCUUUUGUGGAGGCAGAAAUGAAUAUGCUGAGGAUAUAUCUGUCAAUGCAGCCGUUAAUAUCCGUGAAUGACAUUGAGCUUUAAUUUAUGAUAUGAAUCCAUAUGCCGUAAUAAGGUGAUGGUGUCUCUGCAGGUGUAGGCUACGGCCGGUGUCAGAGACGUGGUGCUCGUCGGAGCUCGACUCCCUCUGGAUCACAAAUGUUGAUUAUCAUCAGUUUGAUUGUUUCUUCAGAAACCACAAAAUCUCUCUUAAUGACCCGCUGAUACAUCCACAGAUAACCCUGCAGAUGACCAGCUUCAGUCAUUUCCCCCUCCACAAAAGCAGCUUUAUGACUUUAUUUACUUUAUGACUUUAUUCUCCUAAAUUUACAACUUUAAUCUCUAAAUCUUAAAAGAAAAAAAAACCUCAAUGUUGUCCUGAUACUCUGCUGUAGUUUUGUCAGCUUUCUCAUUUCUAAUGUUUUUGAUAGUUGUAACACAGCGGAUCAGUUCGUCUCUAAAUCUAUAAUGUUUGGUUUACAGAUUUUAGUGAGUUCAGAGAUCAUGCUCUCAUACAGCCUGAGCUGACUGUCUGAUGGUUUUGGAUUGCUUGUAUUUUCUUCGAAGACGCGCUGUGUCUCCAAGCGAGUCCAGCCUCUCACCUGAAAUGCACAGCUGUGCAGCGGCACGCAAAGAAUUCUGGGAUACCGACGGCACGAAAGCGUGCAUACAUGCACGCUUGAAAACGAGGCGGGGGUAGUGUGGUUUUGAGACCGAAUUUGAAGCGCGCUUAGUAUUUUGUGCCAAACGGGACACCGUUCGUGCCGCGUGGUGACCUCACGUACGCGUCAGAUGCGCCGUUCGAUGGCUGCUGUAUCUGAAAUGGGACACAGGAAGGGCACAGAACGGCGCAAAACGGCGUAAAACGGCUCAAAACGGCAGUGCACUCAGCUAAGCGCUGUUAAGCGCGCUUAUCACGAUGCGGUCUCUGAAAUGAGACACAGCCUCAGACUGGGUCUGUAUGGAGCUCUAUGAGGACUAACUCACUGCAGGGCCCGACCUCUAGUGGACACGAGGGGAACUGCUGCAUGUUGGUUUCAUUUUUCAGCCCUGGAGGUCAUAUCUCUGGUUGGUGGAGUGAGAACAUUUCAAUGAGUUUAAGGAAAACCAGUCUUUGAGUUGUUUCCAGUCGGUCUCAUAUUUUCCACCUCUUACUCGCUCACUACAUCAGCGUCUGCAUGAUCCACCACCACUGUGACUACAUGAAAACACUCGAGGUAGGAAACUACUAAUAAUGCAGCGGAGAGCUGGAAUUACUGCAAUUUAGCACAGUGAGGGCAGGAAUACUGAUUCCCAAACCCCCCGUCUGGUUUAGGGGAAGUAAUAAUAGUUAUUUAACAGGCUGUGAAACGACUGUGAGUAAAUCUGACCUUUGUGUUUCACACAGAAUUAUUGAAUCUAUUUCAUGUCCUUUAGUAAGCUGCUGCAGCUCCCCGGGGACACAUCUGCGCCGCCUGUUUCAGAACCAUGGUGCUUUACAUCAGCCUAAUGUGAGGAGGAGGAGGCUUUCUCUCUCUGGUCCGGGCCCAGCAGAACCAUCUUCAGCUGCUUACCUUCACUUCAGAGAGCUGGCAGAGCUGGCAGAGGAGGGCUUCCUCAGAAAUGGAUCAUUCAGGUCCAGGAAAAACCACGUCAGUGUUGGUUUUUUACAGAAGACGUUUAGAGAGUGGAGAGAGGGAAAAGGGUCGGGUGUGAAUAAUGAAGUAACUGUGGGAUUAGUGCUAAUCUUUGGAGCGUGAGGGCUAAGGACCUGAAGGACAACAACGAACUCAUGAACCAGGUUUCCAAGAUGAUCUUCAGGUUUUCAAGGGUCAAGUAAUUCAGAUACGAGAUUAUCUCCUAACCCUCUAUUUCCUCUGCAUCCAGAACGGCAACUAAAAGGUCGUAUCCUCUGAUCGUAGCUGAUCGUAACCAUUCAAGUUAACAUGUCAAUUUCCACCGGCUUCUUUCCGUUCCUCUGUGGAUCGCCAGACUCUGCAGCUGAUCAAAAGAGUUCUAUUUUUUCCGGACGCCGGAGCAUGCACAGAUAAAAUUCAGCACAGAUUAAUCCAUGCUGGAAAGGAAGUCGGGCACAGACACAAAAUAAAACAUCCGGCCUCUUUCCAAAAUAAAACAUGCCGCGUUUCAGGAGGAUCGUAUUUCACACCAUGCAAAAGGGCGGAGACGAACAAGUGAAAGGUUUUUAGACGUCAUUUCACUCUGAUGACACCAUGGAUGAGGAGAUGCUGAUUCUAGAAGUCUAGAAGUAGAUUUCCUCUUCUGGAAGGACACAAUCUACUGCUUAUAUGUCUAUGUGUCUGUCUUUAUAGAGACAACUUGUUAUCACGCGAUUGAACAUAAUAAUAAUAAUGACAUGAAGCUUGUUUUUGUAAUCCCUGCACGACAGGAAGUGCUUUUAUUUUGAUAGUCAAGGACCUUUUCCUGAUCUUAUUCUCUGUAAACAUUAGUUUAAAAGUGUCUCCAAAGAUGUAAAUAUACGUAUGAAUGUACAUUAACCAGGAUGACUUUAGGUAACAGGGACAGAUGCUGAUUAUACAGUGUUAGUGUGGGAGGUUACACACACACAUACACACACACACACACACACACACACACACACACACACACACACACACACAAAAACACCUCUGACUCUGCAGACUGACUCUCUUCUGUAGGAUCCAACACUCUGAGUGUGUUUGUGUGUGUGUUUUAGUGCAGUUUGUAUGUGUGUCUCUCUGUGUGUUUCUGUGUGUGUUUGUUAGUGUGUGUCUGUGUGUGUAUUUUGGGUGUGUGGGUGGCUCACAGGGACAGACUGAAGUUCAGCUACCGGCGGUGCCGCCUCAGGCCUCGCUGAUAAACAUGUCUGCCAGAGUCAAAAACAGAAAAACAAUACGAACAGGAAAUUAAACGGUUUGAGCUCAAGUUCUGGUCCUGAAGUGAUCCAUUUAACUUCAGGUUUAGGGUCUGAAAACGGUCGAUUAGAUAAAGUUUGUUUGUAUUUUCUGGAAAAUUUUUGUCUUUGAUUCUUUGUGGAUCAGUUUGUGGUCACACAGUUUUAAACAGGCGGUGUCCUGAUGAAGCAGAUUUAGGUACAAAACUGAGACCUGGUUUAAAUAGAUGGAAACAGCUGACUGAAAGAAAUUAGUUCUUCAUUUUUGAGCUUUCUCAGAUUAUGUUGGUUGAGUACGAGAUAAAAAAGAGUCGGAUUGUGUUCGUUAAAACUUUAAAAGACCUGUUUUCUGGCCUUAAUACAGGACAGAAACAAAUGAAACAUAGCGGUAGCUCAGGCAGGUCACGGAGUCAAGCUAAAGGCUACAGUCAGUUGAUCUUAAGCCAGCCCUCAGUCAGCUGACAGAAAGCUCUCGGUAAUUCCGGGUUUUUCUCCACUUCCUUGAAACCAGAGCUGCGCAGUAGCGAUGCGCGCAUUCGGCCGCGCAGUCGCCCGCGCAGUCGCCGAGAGUCCCUGUGCAGAGCAGUAGAUUAAAACAGAGUGGCGACAACUUCAGAUCUCGCCGCCGGAGCAGUCACAUGGUUCAUGUACCCCUCCAUAGUUCCAAACGCAGCCUGCACUGUCCAUGCUCUUCAACGGGGCAGACUGCAGUGAGCGCGCAUUUAAGAGGUAAAUAUUAAAAUUAACCGUAAAAAGUCAACAUUUGUAACUCUUAUUGGAUUACUGUGUACACGUCAAAGUCACGUACGCAUAUUUAGCGGCUGGAUGACAAAUAAAAGUGAAAUAAGACAAGUUUGGUAACACGUGUUACUUUUUAAUAAGAGAAAAUAAUACAAUUAAGUGGUAAGUAACAGGUGUUACAAGCUGUUUAAAAAAUUGUGCAAUGUUUUGGUCUUGCAGCAUGGCCUGCAUAACAUUUUGCCAUGUUAAACAUACGCCUUAAAUGCUGACAGGAUUUAAAAAGUAGCGGUCCCUUAACUCAAUCAUCCCAUGAGCAGAAAUCAAAUUACAUAGCACUUAUGUUAGUCUAAAAAGAAUAAACUGCAUAUAACAUCGGGAAGUGAUAAAGGCUGAAAUCUAAAAUAAAGCCCAUAAGUAACCAUCUCAACAUAUGAUUGAUGAUGAUUUAUCUGUGAUUCAUAACUCAGUCACACAAUACAUUUUGGCAGGCCUCCACAGCUGACGACGUCCAGCUAGCAGGCCGUGGCUAAAAAAUCGAUCCCAAUUCCUUACUAAAAAAACGUAAUUACAUUUGUAAUUACAAUUUGAGCAUACUAAAAUUAAAAUCAUUUUACAUAUAAAGGGGUCCCUCGAUACCAUUUACACAUGUAUUGGUAUUACAUUCGUUGAUACAAUAUUUUACCUCGGGGAGUGUGGGAGCAAACCGUGGCUAAAAAAUCGAUCCCAAUUCCUGACGAUAAAAACAAAAUUACAUUUGGGACAUACAUUUUUACAUAUGAAGGGGUCCCCUCGAUAUCAAUAACACAUGUAUUGGCAUUAAACUUGUUGAUAUUUUAUCAUUUAACCUCGGUGAGCGCUUGCCUUGUGGCCAUAGAAGCGAACAGCGUCCGACGUGACAGGCGGUCAUGUUGGAACUGUUAAGCGUUCCAUAACCCGGAAGUGGGGUCCGCCAGGCUGUACAGCGUAUGUCUAUGGGAGUGUCGCCACUCUGUUUUAAUCUACUGCUCUGUCCCUGUGAUGACGCUCGGCUCAAACAGGAUAACCCCCAGGUGAGCUACGCAAUCCCUGAACGCCCAUAGGCUGUACCAGGUGUCAAUCAUAGAAAACAUGAACCCCCUAAUAACUUUUAAAAACAGAGCUGUACAGAAAAAAAAUGACUUGGGCACAAACCAGUCUUACAAUAACUACAUGUCAACAUCACAAGCAGGGGGGAGAAAAAUUUAUGUUCUGUGUAAUAAAUUUCUAAAGUUUGUCCACAGUCCCAUAAGCUUUGCUGGCGGAGGCGGGAUUUAUGACCUGUACUGCAGCCCACCAUCAGAGGGUGCUGUUCUCGGAGUGGCUUCACUCAGCGAGGAGGCAGACUCUGUCCAUUCUUUAUACAGUCUAUGAUUUGCAUCCUUUUAUUUUCGCAGUACCUUUUUUAUUUUUUCAGUUUUGAUGGACCUUAUUCCAAACCAUCUGACAGUGAAACUCUGACCUUAAAUCCGCUCUGACUGUUUCUACUCUAAAGUGAAGGUUUGAUAUGUUUGCACCUCGCUCUGAAACAGCACGCUCACUAAUAAAAGCUUCAUUUGGAGCCGCUAAAGUCUGGUUUUAGACUCUCUCACAGAUGAGUAAACAUCUAUUAAUAAAGUGACAUGUUAACUGGAAAGACGCCCGGCAGCAGCAGCAGCAGAGCUCCAAAGAGCGUUUCCAUCCAGGUGCCUAAACAGGGACGAGUGUGUGUGUCAUCAGAGGGGAUCCUUUUCUAAACCUAGUCCUGGUUUUCCAGAUAAGAGAAGAAAAACGGCUUUAAUGGAGCUAAAGUUCACAAAAUUCCUUUUUUUAUCUCCUGUCAGAAACUCACAACUGUGUGGACGCGAAAACAUGUGUUUCAUUCUGUCAAAACUGCUGCAGUAGUUUCCCUCCUGAUGGUUAACUGUAUCCUGUCACAGGUAAAAACCAGUCCACUCCUGAAACACUUUAGAUUAGCCCGAGGAAAAACAAACACUGACUGUAGGGCUGCACGAUUCAUCGAUUUUAAAUCAUAACCGGAUUAUUUGAUUUUGAAGUUGUUAAAACGGCAGGCAGAGGAUCGCGUUGCUGCAUUAAGCGGAUGAUGUGAUUCUCCUAGCUUCAUCGAGCAGUGACCUUCAGGUCUUGCUGGGGCAGUUUGGGGCAGUGCGAAGCAGCUGGGAUGCGAAUCAGCUCCUACAAGACCGAGGCCAUGGUCCUCAGUCAGAAAAAGGUAGAUUGUCUUCUCCAGGUCAGAGGGGCGGUCCUGCCUCAAGUGGAGGAGUUCAAGUAUCUCGGGAUCUUGUUCACGAGUGAGGGUUAUGUUGGAGCGGUAGAUCGACAGGCGGAUUGGAGCGGCGUCAGCAGUGAUGUGGACGCUUAACCGAUCAGUCGUGGUGAAGAAAGAGCUGAGCCGUAAGGCGAGACUCUUGAUUUACCGGUCGAUCUACUUGUGAAUCCUCACCUAUGGUCAUGAGCUUUGGGUAAUGACCGCAAGAACAAGAUCGUGGAUACAAGUGGAGACCUCGUGGCCGGCCCAGGACCAGGUGGACCAACAGCCAUUAGAACAAUUCAUACGUAUUAUUUACACGUGUAAAUGAAUAAAUAAGAAAAACAAAGUUAUAGAAAAUGUAAGAAAAAGGAAAAAUAAUAAAUAAAUUAAUAAAUAAAAGACAAAAACAGCAACAACAACCACUGAAAAAAACAACAAACAAACAAAGCAGACAAAAGAAAAACACAAAGACAAUACCAAUCGUGGUUUAUCAAUUCCCUUUACAUAAUGAUCCUUCAUCAAUUCAUCAGCAUGGACUACAUCUUUAUCAUUUACCUCUGGGUAUCAUUUAUGAUCUUGCUAAUCUCCAAGAACGACUACCAUUGCAUCUCCGUGUGGAUGUCUAUCUGCACCUCGGGAAACGAUCAUGUGACACACAGCAAAACUCUUUUAUGGCGCCUAGAUGUGUCCGGUUUUGUAGAAUGGAAGGGGAGAGUCCGGUCUCCUUCGCCUCUGAUUGGCUAGAAAAGCUGGAAACAUCAUCAUUCGCUCAAGCCAAACGCUGGCUGUCAGCUCUGUACAUUGAACAGAACCUUUUCACACUUCUGAAUCUCCUAACCCUAACCCGACAGAUGAUGAUGUUUCACAGCCAUAAGGAAUAACCAAUCAGAGCCCAGCACUUCUAGCCAAUCAGAGGCGAAGGAGGGCGGGACCUUCCCCUACCAUCCUACAAAUAAAUAAAUAAAUAAAAAAUUCAUGUCCGGCCAAAACAACCUUUAUACACAUGCUCUAUACUCUUCUUCUGUCUUUUGUGAAUUUCCUAUGCAGCAUUACAGCGCCACUUACUGGCUCGGCAUAUGUACUACAUCGUUACAGAAACUUUUUAUUUUUAAAGUGAAGUUUGGUGAAGUUGUUGCUGAAUAAAAAAAUUAAGAAUCUAUCACUCUUUUAUUAAUCCUCCUCUUCUCCUUCUCUGUUUCUCCUGAGUCUGAACAGACAGCUGUGGUUUUCCUCUGUGUUAUAUUUGCUGCCAUAGCUCUUUCCUGUUUUCACUUUCAGGAGAGUCUGUCCUCGUCCCGGUCCUCUUCCCACUCUGAGUCCAUCUCCUCAGGAUCCCAUUUGGUGGUCUGACAAGGGGCUCUAUUUUCGUGUACGCCAGUGAGGCAGCGGAGUUGUAUUUUCGUCUGGAGGAGCUCGGCGUACAGCCAGUUUGGUAUUUUCGUGGACUGAGGCGCACGGUGGUGAGCCGAGAUUUCGCCAAGCUGGGCGUGGUGGCGUGGCAGGGGGAGGUGUCGACAGAUUCAGCAGGCGCAGUGACAUUUUCGUGCUCGCCAGUGGCGUGUAAAGUGCGCUGAAAGCUUGCCGAUUCAAACCUGGUCAGCUUUCAGCGCAGGCGGAGCGCAGCUGGUCUAGAGGUAUUUUGGUAGACCGGCAUACGUCACCGAUGCCUCACUGGCAGGUUUCCACAGUGUCAGGCACAUUUCAGUGCAAUAAAUAAUCAUCAACAACUAUUAAUCUGAGUCAGCACAUACAUUUAGAUCUAUAUCGAUCUAUUCUGAUCUAUAUCUGAUCUGAUGAGUGCGUUUGGACACACAACCUGACCGAAUCAACACAGCUGAAACCACAUUAAAUUAAAUUAAAUAUCUAGUAAAUAAACACACAUGAUAAAGAUAUUUAAUUUGUCUCCCUCCUUUUCUUUCUUCCUCUUCCUCUUAUUUCUCACGCAGCUCGACCUGGACAUGUCUCCGUGUUCUCUCUCUGUCCUGCUGCAGCAGCUGCUGCUGCAGCGGCUGAACAGAUGAUUUGUUUCAGCGCUCAGAUGCGUUAUCUACUUUAAGCCGACGUACGGAUAUUAUAAUAUUCAGUUUUGUGAGCCAAAUUUAUUUUAUAUGCCAACAUCUAUGAAAGAAAGAGCCAGGCCACGGAGCGCGAUGCGUCAUUUACGCACAGAUGGUUCCGAUUUUAAUGCCAUUUUUGGAGUUUAUGUUUUGAUCUGUGCGCUCAACCCACCUUUGUCACGUGAGGUUUGAAUAUGUGCAACUUUAUGUGAGUGUCUUUAUUUGUGGAAAAGGGUGUUUGUCUUACCAGUGGGUCCAACAUUACACACACCAAAUCCAUCUGUGCUCAUAUGAGAGAGUGUGGAGGACGCCCCCCAAGCAGCGCUUACAGUGACACUUGUUGAGGAGCUGCCUUCUGUCGCCAUCGUGUGGCAUAACUGUCUUCAGACAUCUCUUGAUCUCUUUGACUACUUCACGAAAAUAGUAAUACGCCUCGCCUGUGACGGAUUUAAAGGCGAGGAGAGAGCUUAUGUGAUUGGUGAAAACAGGUCUUGGCUGUGUUAAACCCACUCCACGCUCUCUCUCCUCCCUCGCUACGACUUACGCCGCUGGGAGGAGCUGAGUUAGGGAGGGGGGAUACUUACGCCGGGCUGCACCGAUCACCAAAAUACCAAAUUGCGCUUGGGAACGCCUUGUCGGUGCGGCGGACCUGGCUAAUGCCGCGCCUGCGGCACGUCUCCGGCGAGGCACAAAAAUAGCGGCCAUUGACUCCAACCCCCCACCCCCCCACCCCCGACUGCUCUCAGUCCACACAGCUGGUCCUCUCUCAGUCCGGGUUCUUUCACUGGAAGUCGCUCAGCACAGUUGUCACAACAGCGUGUCGAGCUGCAGGUGGUAUGCAGAACACAACGAGCGGCAAAUGGCCAUCGCCACUCCGCCUCACCAAAACAAAUUACUGAGAGCUCCUGGCGGCGUGCAUGGCCUCCAACACUUGCUGCCAUUUCUGCAGCAGCGCCACAUUUUGAUAAGCCCUGACAGCUGCACAACAAUCCCUUACAUCAGCAGGCAGAGGGGGCCGACACACACAAGAACACACACUCUCAAUGUGUGUGUAAAUGAGAAAUGCAGUAAUAGGCUGCAUUGGCUGAGCGAGAUCGUGUGCAUUUUUUUUUUUUUUUUUGGCCAUGGCGCAAGCAAAAGGGUUUUUUUGUUUGUUUGUUUGUUUGUUUUUGCGUCCUUCUCCAUCACAGCUCAGAGCUUCAUGGAUGGCCAGGAGGCGAAAUUUUUUUUCUGUAGGAUGGUAGGGGAAGGUCCCGCCCUCCUUCGCCUCUGAUUGGCUAGAAGUGCUGGGCCCCCAUUGGCUAUUCCUAAUAAAUAUCGCAGCCAAGAGAGUGGGAGGGGAUGAGUCGGAACUACGGGAGAGGGGUGUGUCCAAUACAGCGAGGUGAUUGGAUGGAGAGGCGGAGUAGGAGAUUGACCAAUAGAAGCUGUCCGGGACGGAUGGCUCCCAUUGGUCGAUGUUUUUGUAGCCCUGCACCUGCUAGGGUAAACAGAUUUUUUCCAAAUUCUAUUUUCUCUUCACUUUGUGGAGAUCGCACUAUGGGACCAUGAUCGCCAUGGAAACGAGGUUCAUGAUAAUUACCCAUCUCUACAAUCAUCAACCAUGACUUUAAGUAAAAACGUUUUAGAAACUCGUCAAAACCUUUAAUUUUAAAAAGAUUUUUCAUAAACCAGAAACAUUUUUUCAGUUUUAACUCUUGAUAUCCUUUUUUUUGUGUAGUAAAUUAAAGUUUGAAAUGAUUUACAAACCAUUUAAAUCCAUUUUAUCAUCGUUCGACUGUUUUAGUUUUACUGAAAAAUAAAAACAUGAAGUUUUCUUUUACAAAUUUACAGGAAAUUCUCCCUCAUAUCUCAGGCAGAGUUUUGGUUCUGGUCGUUGUCGUGAUCCUGCUGGUGUGACAUGAGUCCUUAAAUGGAAGCGCCGUGGAUGUGGAUGCUCUGUUUAUCCUCCUAGGCCGCGGCUCAGGAGGUGGAGGGGUUCGUCCAAUUAUCAGAAAAUGAGCAGAGCAAUCCCAGACUCCUCUAGUCUGCAUGUUGAAGUGUCCCUGGACAAGAAACUGAACCUGAAAUGAAGCCUAUCCCAUCAGUGUGUGUGUGUGUGUGUGUGUGUGUGUGUGUGUGUGUGUGUGUGUGUGUGUGUGUGUGUGAGUGUGAGUGUGUGAGCGUCAGAUUAGAUCCUGAUGAGCAGGUUGGCAGCCUCAGCCUUCAGGAGAUGAGCAGCAGUGUGAACAGAGAACACAGCAUGUAGGCUGAAGUGUCCUGAGUCAUUAUAAUAAUAAUAAUAACUAGGACCCCGUUGGGGCACUGGCGGGCCCGAGCUGUGUCGCGUCCCCCCCCCAACGCGCUGCCUCCCCGUCUCAUUUGUGUCCUCUGGCCAUCGCCCUCUCUGGUAACGCCCAUCACUGCAAAGACCCUUUUCCUUCACGGCGUUUGCUGUUCUUCCUGCCAGUGCGUGUUGCUUUCACUUACACUUGCCACAGCCAGCCUCGUGAGUGCCUAGCCUAUUGGAUAUCACUGUCACCUACUCAGGACAGUCAUUACCUUUCUAUUAAUACUUUGUUUUUUAAUUUCACAUUAAUUUCCAUAUUGUAUAAACAACUGGAAAAAACUUGAGCCCCUGCCCCUGUAUAAUCAUGUGCACAUCUCUGUUCUAGCUCUAAGGUGAAUCUUCACUGCUCAUGUUCUCCUCAGAAGCACUCACCUCACUCCCCUCAGGUUACUGUACACAUGCACCAACUGCCUGCUUCAGGUUUGGAUGGAGCUUCAUGGUUGUCUUUUGGAGAAAUGACCAGUCAAGUUGUGUUUGAAAUUUGAUUUUUUUCAGGGGCAAAAGGAGCCUCUGCAUUCUUGUCAAAUAUGUAAAUAGCAUGUUUUUGCAGGUGCUAAAAACCAGACUCUGAGUGUGUGUGUGUGUGUGUGUGUGUGUGUGUGUGUGUGUGUGUGUGUGUGUGCGUGUGUGUGUGUGUCUAUGUGUGCGUUCAAAUCACAUGACAUAUUUAACCGGAUGUAGCUGCAAGACGGAGCCUCGUUGACUCUCCGUUUCAACUUAUCUCAAAAGUGAGGACCUCAACCUAUAUACCAGUUUUUAAAUUGUGUUGAUAGGCCAAAUAAAACCAGAGUUAUGAUAAAUUAUGUCCGCGAUACUUUUUUUCUGCUUAUUUUGAUCACGUUCGGCGCUCGAUCGCGCUGUAUGAGACAGGAAAACAUAGCAUGCAGACAUUAGCGACAGGUCUUACAGGCGGAAAAGGCUUGCCAAAGGAAAAAAAAAACACACCACAACAUCUCUCCUAUUGGUGGAAAACUUCACCACAACAACCAAUCCAAAAUUAUAUGGUGACUGAUUGACAAGGGGCGGGCGCUUACGUUCUUCCUGCAACAUGAGAAGGGAGGGAGGGACUCUCAGCAGGGAUGCAGUCUGGGACACGUAGUUGCAAACCUAGCGACUUUGUUGUUAGAUUCAAUGACUUUUCAGACCCCCUAACGACUUUUUUUUAGAAAGAAAGUGACUUUUAUCGACUUCUUCUGGAGUUUAGAGACUCUGACAUGAAGCAGGCUUUCCUUACUGAGGAGUUAGCAACGCUGCUAAGGGUGCAGAGCCACACAUGCACUCAGAGCUCUGCAUGGGAGACUGAAGCUGACAGAGCUGCAGCAGUUAGCAGGUUUCACCCUCAGAGACCACCAGGGGUUCAUGUUGAGGCAUUUUAAUUUUUUUUUUUUUGUGCCAUAGACACUGUCAGCACAAUCUGCAGUUACACUAACAAAAAUGCUGCAAAAAACAAAGAAUUAUGGAAAAAUUACACAUGGACUGACAUAGAGGAGGAUCUACACAAGUUUUUUACAUCAUGUUUUACAUCAUGCAUCAUUUACAUCAUGUUUUUUUGUAGUGGCAUAAAUAAAAAGUGACAUUUGUGAGACUAUACAGUGUUUUGUAAAUAAUUUUACAAAGAACGCCUGGGCCAUUGCCUGCAUUUUGAUGUAAAUAGAGGUAAAUUACUAUGUUCUUUGUUAAAAAUUUGCAUAUGUUUUGAAGUUUACAAUUUUUAUUUGAAGUUUAAGUUUUAAAAACAGUUCAUCACACAUAUUUGUGGUUUAAUUUCACAUUAAUUUCCAUAUUGUAUAAAUGACUGGAAAAAACUUGAGCCCCUGCCCCUGUAUAAUCAUGUGCACGUCCCUGUUCUAGCUCCAAGGUGAAUCUUCACUGCUCAUGUUCUCCUCAGAAAUAGUCACCUCACUCCCCUCAGGUUACUGUACACAUGCACCAACUAUCUGCUUCAGGUUUGAAAUGGAGCUUCAUGGUUGUCUUUUGGAGAAAUGAACAGUCAAGUUGUGUUUGAAAUUUGAUUUUUUUCAGGGGCAAAAGGAAGCCUCUGCAUUCUUGUCAAAUAUGUAAACAGCAUGUUUUUGCAGGUGCUAAAAAACAGACUCUGAGUGUGUGUGUGUGUCUGUGUGUGUGUGUGUGUGUGUGUGUGUGUGUAUGUUGGCGUGUGUGUAUAUGUGUGUGUAUCCUGCAGUACUCUGUACUCCUGCAGUGGCCAAAAAGACUUUUAAGAAUGUGGAUUUUUGGGUCAUCUUUGGCGCCCCCUAGAACUGCAGUACUCUGUACUCCUGCAGUGGCCAAAAUGACUUUUAAGAAUGUGGAUUUUUGGGUCAUCUUUGGCGCCCCCUAGAACGUAAACCGUGGGGUGCAGCGUCAUGAUUUUUACAACUUUGAAUGGGCAUGGGGUGUAGAUUGCCCUGAGCAAAUUUGGUAUCGGUGGGACGAAAGCCUUAGGAGGAGAUAGCCACAUUCCAAUGUGUGCGAAUCGGCAAAAAAUGCAAAAUAGCCCUUUAACCGUACAUUAUACAGAUACGCGCUCUUUGACUUUUUCGUAGAUCUAAUUGAGAUACACAUGAUUGUCAAUUUUUGUGUCAAUAUGACAAACCGUUCAGGCGUGACACUCAACAAUGUGUAUUUUUAUGUAAGGGGACAAGAAAAAAUUGACUUUUUUCUCCUACCAUGGGGGGGCGCUCUUUUGGGGAGUAAAAAUUCCUUCACAAAUGUGUUGAUGGCUGGACAUUGCAUCAUCCUAGAAAACUUGGAGGCCAGUGAGGACAAAAAUAAAAAGUUAUAAAACAUUUAAGAAUGUGGAUUUUUGGGUUAUUUUUGGCGCCCCCUAGAACCUAAACCAUGGGGUGCAGCAUCAUGAUUUGAAUAACUUUUAAUGGCCAUGGGGUGUAGAUUGGCCUGAGCAAAUGUGGUGCCGGUGGAACGAAAGCCUUCGGAGGAGUUAGCGAAAUUCCAAUGUGUGCGUAUCGGCAAAAAAUGCGGAAUAACCCUUUAACUGUACAUUUGACAGAUACGCGCGCAUGGACUUUUUUGUAGAUCUUAUUGAGUUACAUGAGUGUGUCAAUUUUUGUGUCAUUUUGACAAAGCGUAUAGGCGUGACACUCAACAAUGUGUAUUUUCACCUUAGGGGACAAGAAAAAAUGGACUUUUUUCUCCUGCCAUGGGGGGGCGCUCUUUUGGGGAGUAAAAAUUCCUUCACAAAUGUGUUGAUGGCUGGACAUUGCAUCAUCCUAGAAAACUUGGAGGCCAGUGAGGACAAAAAUAAAAAGUUAUAAGACUUUUAAAUAUGUGGAUUUUAGUGUUAUCUUUGGCGCCCCCUAGAACCUAAACCAUGGGGUGCAGCGUCAUGAUUUUGAUAACUUUUAAUGGCCACGGGGUGUAGAUUGGCCUGAGCAAAUGUGGUGCCGGUGGAAAGAAAGCCUUCGGAGGAGUUAGCGAAAUUCCAAUGUGUGCGGAUCGGCAAAAAAUGCGAAAUAACCCUUUAACCGUAAUUUUGACAGAUACGGCCGCACUGACUUUUUUGUAGAUCUUAUUGAGAUACAUGUGUGUGUCAAUUUUUGUGUCAAUAUGACAAAGCGUACAGGCGUGACAGUCAAUAGUGUGAAUUUCCACCUUAGGGGGCGCUAUGGAGCCAUUUUGCAUUUUAUUGUUUUGGCGACUUCAGAAUAUCGAAUUUUUCACCAGGCCCGGUCGUCCUGCCAAAUUUCAUGAGUUUUCGCCAGUGGGAAGUGGGCCAUUUUCCAGUUCAAAGGGGAGGAAAAAGAAAAAAGAAAGAAAGAAACAAAGAACUAGGGCCCCGUUGGGGCACUGGCGGGCCCGCGCCGUGUCGCGCCGCCCCCCCCCCCCCCCCCCCCAACGCGCUGCCUCCCCGUCCCAUUCGUGUCCUCUGGCCAUCGCCCUCUCUGGUAACGCCCAUCACUGCAAAGACCCUUUUCCUUCAUCGGCGUUUGCUGUUCUUCCUGCCAGUGCGUGUUGCUUUCACUUACACUUGCCACAGCCAGCCUCGUGAGUGCCUAGCCUAUUGGAUAUCACUGUCAUCUACACAGGACAGUCAUUACCUUUCUAUUAAUACUUUGUUUUUUAAUUUCACAUUAAUUUCCAUAUUGUAUAAAUGACUGGAAAAAACUUAAGCCCCUGCCCCUGUAUAAUCAUGUGCACGUCCCUGUUCUAGCUCCAAGGUGAAUCUUCACUGCUCAUGUUCUCCUCAGAAGCAGUCACCUCACUCCCCUCAGGUUACUGUACACAUGCACCAACUGCCUGCUUCAGGUUUGGAUGGAGCUUCAUGGUUGUCUUUUGGAGAAAUGAGCAGUCAAGUUGUAUUUGAAAUUUGAUUUUUUUUCAGGGGCAAAAGGAGCCUCUGCAUUCUUGUCAAAUAUGUAAAUAGCAUGUUUUUGCAGGUGCUAAAAAACAGACUCUGAGUGUGUCUGUGUGUGUGUGUGUGUGUGUGUGUGUGUGUGUGUGUGUGUGUGUGUGUGUGUGUGUGUGUCUGUGUGUGUGUAUAUAUCUUGCAGUACUCUGAGAAGAAUAAUAAGCAUAUUUCUGCGGUGAAUUUUGAAGAUUCAUCUGAGAGGUCGGAGGGCUGAUCAUUCCCUUACCCUUUAGAUGUCUGUCUAUGUCUGUUUUUGUGUGAUAAUGAAAGAAUCCCAACUCAAAAAGGCUCUGUUGAUGUUUUUUUUUUGUUGUUCAUUCAUAUUCAAACCACUAUUUUAUAUCACUGCUAAUACGCCAAGACCAUUUUAUGGUAUUUAGCUUUAUUAUUUCUAUACAUUUUGCAAGGAAAGAAACCAAGGCCUUCACUAAAAUUUCCAUAAACUUUAGGAAAGGACCUCUGGUUGUUUAAGGGGGUCAUUACUGCAAAAAAAUAUUCUUCCUAAAUUUUGAAGGUCAAACCUUAGAUCCAUUAGGUUUAAAUAGAAAAAGCAUUAAAAUAUGUUAGGAUUAUAGCAUAUGACAAAUGUGUGCCUCUCAAUGGCAUAACUACUUUGUCUGCUGGCUCUGCAGUCGAUUGACGCUCCCCAGCGUUCAAGUCACAUGACAUAUUUAACCGGAUGUAGCUGCAAGACGGAGCCUCGUUCACCCUCCGUUUCAACUUAUCUCAAAAGUGAGGACCUCAAACUAUAUACCAGUUUUUAAAUUGUGUUGAUAGGCCAAAUAAAACCAGAGUUAUGAUAAAUUAUGUCCGCGAUACUUUUUUUCUGCUUAUUUUGAUCACGUUCGGCGCUCGAUCACGCUGUAUGAGACAGGAAAACAUAGCAUGCAGACAUUAACGACAGCUCUUACAGGCGGAAAAGGCAUGCCAAAAGAAAAAAAAACACACCACAACAUCUCUCCUAUUGGUGGAAAACUUCACCACAACAACCAAUCCAAAAUUAUAUGGUGACUGAUUGACAAGGGGCGGGCGCUUACGUUCUUCCUGCAAUAUGAGAAGGGAGGGAGGAACUCUCAGCAGGGAUGCAGUCUGGGAAACGUAGUUGCAAACCUAGCGACUUUGUUGUUAGAUUCAAUGACUUUUCAGACCCCCUAACGACUUUUUUUUAGAAAGAAAGGGAAUUUUAUCGACUUCCUCUGGAGUUUAGAGACUCUGACAUGAAGCAGGCUUUCCUUACUGAGGAGUUAGCAACGCUGCUAAGGGUGCAGAGCCACACAUGCGCUCCGAGCUCUGCAUGGGAGACUAGAGCUGAGAGAGCUGCAGCAGUUAGCAGGUUUCACCCUCAGAGACCACCAGGAGUUCAUGUUGAGGCAUUUUUAGUUUUUUUUUUUUUUUGCCAUAGACACUGUCAGCACAAUCUGCAGUUACACUAACAAAAAUGCUGCAAAAAACAAAGAAUUAUGGAAAAAUUACUCAUGGACUGACAUAGAGGAGGAUCUACACAAGUUUUUUACAUCAUGUUUUACAUCAUGCAUCAUUUACAUCAUGUUUUUUUGUAGUGGCAUAAAUAAAAAGUGACAUUUGUGAGACUAUACAGUGUUUUGUAAAUAAUUUUACAAAGAACGCCUGGGCCAUUGCCUGCAUUUUGAUGUAAAUAGAGGUAAAUUACUAUGUUCUUUGUUAAAAAUUUGCAUAUGUUUUGAAGUUUACAAUUUUUAUUUGAAGUUUAAGUUUUAAAAACAGUUCAUCACACAUAUUUGUGGUUUAAUUUCACAUUAAUUUCCAUAUUGUAUAAAUGACUGGAAAAAACUUGAGCCCCUGCCCCUGUAUAAUCAUGUGCACGUCCCUGUUCUAGCUCCAAGGUGAAUCUUCACUGCUCAUGUUCUCCUCAGAAGUAGUCACCUCACUCUCCUCAGGUUACUGUACACAUGCACCAACUAUCUGCUUCAGGUUUGGAUGGAGCUUCAUGGUUGUCUUUUGGAGAAAUGAACAGUCAAGUUGUGUUUGAAAUUAGAUUUUUUUCAGGGGCAAAAGGAAGCCUCUGCAUUCUUGUCAAAUAUGUAAACAGCAUGUUUUUGCAGGUGCUAAAAAACAGACUCUGAGUGUGUGUGUGUGUGUAUGUGUGUGUGUGUGUGUGUGUGUGUGUGUGUGUGUGUGUGUGUGUGUGUGUGUUGGCGUGUGUGUGUCCGGCAGUACUCUGUACUCCUGCAGUGGCCAAAAAGACUUUUAAGAAUGUGGAUUUUUGGGUCAUCUUUGGCGCCCCCUAGAACUGCAGUACUCUGUACUCCUGCAGUGGCCAAAAUGACUUUUAAGAAUGUGGAUUUUUGGGUCAUCUUUGGCGCCCCCUAGAACGUAAACCGUGGGGUGCAGCGUCAUGAUUUUUACAACUUUGAAUGGCCAUGGGGUGUAGAUUGCCCUGAGCAAAUUUGGUAUCGGUGGGACGAAAGCCUUAGGAGGAGAUAGCCACAUUCCAAUGUGUGCGAAUCGGCAAAAAAUGCGAAAUAGCCCUUUAACCAUACAUUUGACAGAUACGUGCCUAUUGACUUUUUUGUAGAUCUUAUUGAGAUACACGUGAUUGUCAAAUUGUGUGUCAAUAUGACAAAGUGUAUAGGCGUGACACUCAACAAUGUGUUUUUUUACCUUAGGAGACAAGAAAAAAUGGACUUUUUUCUCCUGCCAUGGGGGGGGCGCUCUUUUGGGGAGUAAAAAUUCCUUCACAAAUGUGUUGAUGGCUGGACAUUGCAUCAUCCUAGAAAACUUGGAGGCCAGUGAGGACAAAAAUAAAAAGUUAUAAGACUUUUAAGAAUGUGGAUUUUUGUGUUAUCUUUGGCGCCCCCUAGAAAGUAAACCGUGGGGUGCAGCAUCAUGAUUUGUACAACUUUUAAUGGCCAUGGGGUGUAGAUUGGCCUGAGCAAAUUUGGUGCCGGUGGAACGAAAGCCUUCGGAGGAGUUAGCGAAAUUCCAAUGUGUGCGGAUCGGCAAAAAAAGCGAAAUAGCCCUUUAACCGUACAUUUGGCAGAUACGCCCGCACUGACUUUUUCGUAGAUCUUAUUGAGAUACACAUGUGUGUCAAAUUUUGUGUCAUUUUGACAAAGCGUACAGGCAUCAGGUGAGUUUUCACCAUAGGGGGCGCUAUGGAGCCAUUUUUCAUUUUUUUGUUUGGGCGACUUCAGAAUAUCAAAUUUUUCACCAGGCCCGGUCGUCCUGCCAAAUUUCCUGAGUUUUCGCCAGUGGGAAGUGGGCCAUUUUCCAGUUUAAAGCGGAGGAAAAAUAACGAAAGAAGAAUCCAUCAGGAACAAAAGGGCUCUCGCAGCUGCUUAGCAGCUACGCUCGGGCCCUAACUAGGGCCCCGUUGGGGCACUGGCGGGCCCGAGCUGUGUCGCGCCCCCCCCCCCCCACCAAUGCGCUGCCUCCCCGUCCCAUUCGCGUCCUCUGGCCAUCGUCCUCUCUGGUAACGCCCAUCACUGCAAAGACCCUUUUCCUUCAUCGGCGUUUGCUGUUCUUCCUGCCAGUGCGUGUUGCUUUCACUUACACUUGCCACAGCCAGCCUCGUGAGUGCCUAGCCUAUUGGAUAUCACUGUCACCUACACAGGACAGUCAUUACCUUUCUAUUAAUACUUUGUUUUUUAAUUUCACAUUAAUUUCCAUAUUGUAUAAACGACUGGAAAAAACUUGAGCCCCUGCCCCUGUAUAAUCAUGUGCACGUCCCUGUUCUCGCUCCAAGGUGAAUCUUCACUGCUCAUGUUCUCCUCAGAAGCACUCACCUCACUCCCCUCAGGUAACUGUACACAUGCACCAACUGCCUGCUUCAGGUUUGGAUGGAGCUUCAUGGUUGUCUUUUGGAGAAAUGACCAGUCAAGUUGUGUUUGAAAUUUGAUUUUUUUCAGGGGCAAAAGGAGCCUCUGCAUUGUUGUCAAAUAUGUAAAUAGCAUGUUUUUGCAGGUGCUAAAAAACAGACUCUGAGUGUGUGUGUGUGUGUGUGUGUGUGUGUGUGUGUGUGUGUGUGUGUGUGUGUGUGUGCGUGUGUGUGUGUGUCUGUGUUUGUGUGUGUCUGUGUGUGUGUAUCCUGCAGUACUCUGUACUCCUGCAGUGGCCAAAACGACUUUUAAGAAUGUGGAUAUUUGGGUCAUCUUUGGCGCCCCCUAGAACGUAAACCAUGGGGUGCAGCGGCAUGAUUUUUACAACUUUGAAUGGCCAUGGGAUGUAGAUCGGCUUGAGCAAAUUUGGUGUCGGUGGGAAGAAAGCCUUAGGAGGAGUUAGCCACAUUCCAAUGUGUGCGAAUCUGCAAAAAAUGCGAAAUAGCCCUUUAACCAUACAUUUUACAGAUACGUGCCCAUUGACUUUUUCGUAGAUCUUAUUGAGAUACACGUGAUUGUCAAAUUUUGGGUCAAUAUGACAAAGCGUAUAGGCGUGACACUCAACAAUGUGUAUUUUCACCUUAGGGGACAAGAAAAAAUGGACUUUUUUCUCCUGCCAUGUGGGGGCGCUCUUUUGGGGAGUAAAAAUUCCUUCACAAAUGUGUUGAUGGCUGGACAUUGCAUCAUCCUAGAGAACUUGGAGGCCAGUGAGGACAAAAAUAAAAAGUUAUAAGACUUUUAAGACUGUGGAUUUUUGGGUUAUCUUUGGCGCCCCCUAGAACGUAAACUGUGGGGUGCAGCGUCAUGAUUUGUACAACUUUUAAUGGCCAUGGGGUGUAGAUUGGCCUGAGCAAAUGUGGUGCCGGUGGAACGAAUGCCUUCGGAGGAGUUAGCGAAAUUCCAAUGUGUGCAGAUCGGCAAAAAAUGCGAAAUAACCCUCUAACUGUACAUUUCACAGAUGCGCCCGCGCUGACUUUUUCGUAGAACGUAUUGAGAUACACGUGUGUGUCAAUUUUUGUGUCAAUAUGACAAAGCGUACAGGCGUGACAGUCAAUAGUGUGAAUUUUCGCCUUAGGGGGCGCUAUGGAGCCAUUUUGCAUUUUAUUGUUUGGGCGACUUCAGAAUAUCGAAUUUUUCACCAGGCCCGGUCGUCCUGCCAAAUUUCAUGAGUUUUCGCCAGUGGGAAGUCGGCCAUUUUCCAGUUUAAAGCGGAGGAAAAAUAAUAACUAGGGCCCCGUUGGGGCACUGGCGGGCCCGAGCUGUGUCGCGUCCCCCCCCUCAACGCGCUGCCUCCCCGUCCCAUUUGUGUCCUCUGGCCAUCGCCCUCUCUGGUAACGCCCAUCACUGCAAAGACCCUUUUCCUUCAUCGGCGUUUGCUGUUCUUCCUGCCAGUGCGUGUUGCUUUCACUUACACUUGCCACAGCCAGCCUCGUGAGUGCCUAGCCUAUUGGAUAUCACUGUCACCUACACAGGACAGUCAUUACCUUUCUAUUAAUACUUUGUUUUUUAAUUUCACAUUAAUUUCCAUAUUGUCUAAACAACUGGAAAAAACUUGAGCCCCUGCCCCUGUAUAAUCAUGUGCACGUCCCUGUUCUAGCUCCAAGGUGAAUCUUCACUGCUCAUGUUCUCCUCAGAAGCAGUCACCUCACUCCCCUCAGGUUACUGUACACAUGCACCAACUGCCUGCUUCAGGUUUGGAUGGAGCUUCAUGGUUGUCUUUUGGAGAAAUGAGCAGUCAAGUUGUGUUUGAAAUUUCAUUUUUUUCAGGGGCAAUAGGAGCCUCUGCAUUCUUGUCAAAUAUGUAAAUAGCAUGUUUUUGCAGGUGCUGAAAAACAGACUCUGAGUGUGUAUGUGUGUGUGUGUGUGUGUGUGUGUGUGUGUGUGUGUGUGUGUGUGUGUGUGUGCGUGUGUGUGUGUGUCCGUGUGUGUGUGUGUCUGUGUGUGUGUGUGUAUCCUGCAGUACUCUGUACUCCUGCAGUGGCCAAAACGACUUUUAAGAAUGUGGAUAUUUGGGUCAUCUUUGGCGCCCCCUAGAACGUAAACCAUGGGGUGCAGCGGCAUGAUUUUUACAACUUUGAAUGGGCAUGGGGUGUAGAUUGCCCUGAGCAAAUUUGGUAUCGGUGGGACGAAAGCCUUAGGAGGAGAUAGCCACAUUCCAAUGUGUGCUAAUCGGCAAAAAAUGCGAAAUAGCCCUUUAACUGUACAUUAUACAGAUACGCGCUUUUUGACUUUUUCGUAGAUCUAAUUGAGAUACACAUGAUUGUCAAUUUUUGUGUCAAUAUGACAAAGCGUUCAGGCGUGACACUCAACAAUGUGUAUUUUCAUGUAAGGGGACAAGAAAAAAUUGACUUUUUUCUCCUGCCAUGGGGGGGCGCUCUUUUGGGGAGUAAAAAUUCCUUCACAAAUGUGUUGAUGGCUGGACAUUGCAUCAUCCUAGAAAACUUGGAGGGCAGUGAGGACAAAAAUAAAAAGUUAUAAGACUUUUAAGAAUGUGGAUUUUAGGGUUAUCUUUGGCGCCCCCUAGAACGUAAACCGUGGGGUGCAGCGUCAUGAUUUGUACAACUUUUAAUGGCCAUGGGGGGUAGAUUGGCCUGCGCAAAUGUGGUGCCGGUCGAACGAAAGCCUUCGGAGGAGUUAGCGAAAUUCCAAUGUGUGCAGAUCUGCAAAAAAUGCAAAAUAACCCAUUAACCGUACAUUUGACAGAUACGCCCGCACUGACUUUUUUGUAGAUCUUAUUAAGAUACAUGUGUGUGUCAAUUUUUGUGUCAAUAUGACAAAGCGUACAGCCGUCAUGUGAAUUUUCACCUUAGGGGGCGCUAUGGAGCCAUUUUGCAUUUUAUUGUUUGGGCGACUUCAGAAUAUCGAAUUUUUCACCAGGCCCGGUCGUCCUGCCAAAUUUCCUGAGUUUUCGCCAGUGGGAAGUGGGCCAUUUUCCAGUUUAAAGCGGAGGAAAAAUAAUAACGAAAGAAGGAAACAUGCAGGAACAAGAGGGCUCUCGCAGCUGCUUAGCAGCUACGCUCGGGCCCUAACUAGGGCCCCGUUGGGGCACUGGCGGGCCCGAGCCGCGUUGCGCCGCCCCCAGUGCGACCGCCUCCCCCUCCCGAUCGCGUCACACUCAAGGUCCAAAGAUGGUGUGCGCACUUGUCUGUGGUCAUUUCCCAUUAUAAUGAAUGGGAGGCGCAGUUUCUACCAAAACACUCGCUGCAGACAAACUACAUGUCCUAUUUGAAAAAAGUCUGGACCAUGAGUGAGGCCACAAACACAGCUAGGAUAUAUCCAAACGGCAAGUUGCUCCUUGUUACGGUGUUGCCGGGAGAGCGAUGCGAUUGAGCCAUUGAGUGAUGGGCAGGAAAAACUUGACUGUUUCUCCUGCCAUGGGGGAUGGGGGCUGGGGGGGGGGAUGUGGAUUCUUUUAAGAAUGUGGAUAUUUGGGUCAUCUUUGGCGCCCCCUAGAACGUGAGCCGUGGGGUGCAGCGUCAUGAUUUUUACAACUUUGAAUGGCCAUGGGGUGUAGAUUGGCCUGAGCAAAUUUGGUGUCAGUGGGACGAAAGCCUUAGGAGGAGUUAGCCACAUUCCAAUGUGUGCGAAUCGGCAAAAAAUGCAAAAUAGCCCUUUAACCGUACAUUUGACAGAUACACGCCCAUUGACUUUUUCGUAGAUCUUAUUGAGAUACACGUGAUUGUCAAAUUUUGUGUCAAUAUGACAAAGCGUACAGGCGUGACACUAAACAAUGUGUAUUUUCACCUUAGGGGACAAGAAAAAAUAGACUUUUUUCUCCUGCCAUGGGGGGGCGCUCUUUUGGGGAGUAAAAUUUCCUUCACAAAUGUGUUGAUGGCUGGACAUUGCAUUAUCCUAGAAAACUUGGAGGCCAGUGAGGACAAAAAUAAAAAGUUAUAAGACUUUUAAGAAUGUGGAUUUUUGGGUUAUCUUUGGCGCCCCCUAGAACCUUCACCGUGGGUUGCAGCGUCAUGAUUUGUACAACUUUUAAUGGCCAUGGGGUGUAGAUUGGCCUGAGCAAAUUUGGUGCCGGUGGAACGAAAGCCUUCGGAGGAGUUAGCGAAAUUCCAAUGUGUGCGGAUCGGCAAAAAAUGCAAAAUAGCCCUUUAACCGUACAUUAUACAGAUACGCGCUCUAUGACUUUUUUGUAGAUCUUAUUGAGAUACACGUGAUUGUCAAAUGUUUUGUCAAUAUGACAAAGCGUUUAGGCGUGACACUCAACAAUGUGUAUUUUCAUGUUAGGGGACAAGAAAAACUUGACUUUUUUCUCCUGCCAUGGGGGGGCGCUCUUUUGGGGAGUAAAAAUUCCUUCACAAAUGUGUUGAUGGCUUGACAUGGCAUCAUCCUAGAAAACUUGGAGGCCAGUGAGGACAAAAAUAAAAAGUUAUAAGACUUUUAAGAAUGUGGAUUUUUGGGUUAUCUUUGGCGCCCCCUAGAACCUUCACCGUGGGUUGCAGCGUCAUGAUUUGUACAACUUUUAAUGGCCAUGGGGUGUAGAUUGGCCUGAGCAAAUGUGGUGCCGGUGGAACGAAAGCCUUCGGAGGAGUUAGCGAAAUUCCAAUGUGUGCGGAUCGGCAAAAAAUGCGAAAUAGCCCUUUAACGGUACAUUUGACAGAUACGCCCGCACUGACUUUUUUGUAGAUCUUAUUGAGAUACACAUGUGUGUCAAAUUUUGUGUCAUUUUGACAAAGUGUACAGGCGUCAGGUGAGUUUUCACCAUAGGGGGCGCUAUGCAGCCAUUUUUCAUUUUUUUGUUUGGGCGACUUCAGAAUAUCAAAUUUUUCACCAGGCCCGGUCGUCCUGCCAAAUUUCCUGAGUUUUCGCCAGUGGGAAGUGGGCCAUUUUCCAGUUUAAAGCGGAGGAAAAAUAACGAAAGAAGAAUCCAUCAGGAACAAGAGGGCUCUCGCAGCUGCUUAGCAGCUACGCUCGGGCCCUAACUAGGGCCCCGGUGGGGCACUGUCGGGCCCGAGCCGCGUCACGCCGCCCCCAGCGUGACCGCCUCCACCUCCCGAUCGCGUCACACUCUAGGUCCAAAGAUGGAGUGCGCACUUGUCUGUGGUCAUUUCCCAUUAUAAUGAAUGGGAGGCGCAGUUUCUACCAAAACACUCGCUGCAGACAAACUACAUGUCCUAUUUGAAAAAAGUCUGGACCAUGAGUGAGGGCACAAACACAGCUAGGAUAUAUCCAAAUGGCAAGUUGCUCCUCCUUUCGCUUUUGCCGAGAGAGCGAUGCGAUUGAGCCAUUGAGCGAUGGGCAGGAAAAACUUGACUUUUUCUCCUGCCAUGGGGGGAGGGGGGGGGGAUGUGGAUUCUUUUAAGAAUGUGGAUAUUUGGGUCAUCUUUGGCACCCCCUAGAACGUGCACCGUGGGGUGCAGCGUCAUGAUUUUUACAACUUUGAAUGGCCAUGGGGUGUAGAUUGGCCUGAGCAAAUUUGGUGUCAGUGGGACGAAAGCCUUAGGAGGAGUUAGCCACAUUCCAAUGUGUGCGAAUCGGCAAAAAAUGCAAAAUAGCCCUUUAACCGUACAUUUUACAGAUAUUUGCGCAUGACUUUUUCAUAGAUCUUAUUGAGAUACACAUGAUUGUCAAAUUUUGUGUCAUUUUGACAAAGCGUAGAGGCGUGACACUCAACAAUGUGUUUUUUCACCUUAUGGGACAAGAAAAAAUGGACUUUUUUCUCCUGCCAUGGGGGGGCGCUCUUUUGGGGAGUAAAAGUUUCUUCACAAAUGUGUUGAUGGCUGGACAUUGCAUCAUCCUAGAAAACUUGGAGGCCAGUGAGGACAAAAAUAAAAAGUUAUAAGACUUUUAAGAAUGUGGAUUUUUGGGUUAUCUUUGGCGCCCCCUAGAACCUAAACCGUGGGGUGCAGCGUCAUGAUUUGUACAACUUUUAAUGGCCAUGGGGUGUAGAUUGGCCUGAGCAAAUUUGGUGCCAGUGGAACGAAAGCCUUCGGAGGAGUUAGCGAAAUUCCAAUGUGUGCGGAUCGGCAAAAAAUGCGAAAUAGCCCUUUAACCAUACAUUUGACAGCUACGCGCUCUGUAACUUUUUCGUAGAUCUUAUUGAGAUACACGUGUGUGUCAAAUUUUGUGUCAAUAUGACAAAGCGUUCAGGCAUGACACUCAACAAUGUGUAUUUUCACCUUAGGGGACAAGAAAAAAUGGACUUUUUUCUCCUGCCAUGGGGGGCGCUCUUUUGGGGAGUAAAAAUUUCUUCACAAAUGUGUUGAUGGCUGGACAUUGCAUCAUCCUAGAAAACUUGGAGGCCAGUGAGGACAAAAAUAAAAAGUUAUAAGACUUUUAAGACUGUGGAUUUUUGGGUUAUCUUUGGCGCCCCCUAGAAUGUAAACCGUGGGGUGCAGCGUCAUGAUUUGUACAACUUUUAAUGGCCAUGGGGUGUAGAUUGUCCUGAGCAAAUUUGUUGCCGGUGGAACGAAAGCCUUCGGAGGAGUUAGCGAAAUUCCAAUGUGUGCGGAUCGGCAAAAAAUGCGAAAUAGCCCUUUAACCGUACAUUUGACAGAUACGCCCGCACUGACUUUUUUGUAGAUCUUAUUGAGAUACACAUGUGUGUCAAAUUUUGUGUCAUUUUGACAAAGCGUACAGGCGUCAGGUGAGUUUUCACCAUAGGGGGCGCUAUGGAGCCAUUUUUCAUUUUUUUGUUUGGGCGACUUCAGAAUAUCGAAUUUUUCACCAGGCCCGGUCGUCCUGCCAAAUUUCCUGAGUUUUCGCCAGUGGGAAGUGGGCCAUUUUCCAGUUUAAAGCGGAGGAAAAAUAACGAAAGAAGAAUCCAUCAGGAACAAGAGGGCUCUCGCAGCUGCUUAGCAGCUACGCUCGGGCCCUAAUAAUAAUAACAAACUAGGGCCCCGUUGGGGCACUGGCGGGCCCGAGCCGUGUCACGCCGCCCCCAGCGCGACCGCCUCCCCCACCCGAUCGCGUCACACUCAAGGUCCAAAGAUGGUGUGCGCACUUGUUUGUGGUCAUUUACCAUUAUAAUGAACGGGAGGCGCAGUUUCUACCAAAACGCUCGCUGCAGAAAAACUCCAUGUCCUAUUUGAAAAAAGUCUGGACCAUGAGUGAGGGCACAAACACAGCUAAGAUAUAUCCAAAUGGCAAGUUGCUCCUCCUUUCGCUUUUGCCGAGAGAGCAGUGCGUUUGAGCCAUUGAAUGAUGAACAGGAAAAACUUGACUUUAUUCUCCUGCCAUGGGGGGGCGCUCUUUUAAAGAGAAAAAACUCCUUCACAAAUGUGUUGAUGGCUGGACAUUGAAUCAUCCUAGAAAACAUGGAGGCCAGUGAGGACAAAAAUAAAAAGUUAUAAGACUUUUAAAUAUGUGGAUUUUAGGGUUAUCUUUGGCGCCCCCUAGAACCUAAACCGUGGGGUGCAGCGUCAUGAUUUGAAUAACUUUUAAUGGCCAUGGGGUGUAGAUUGGCCUGAGCAAAUGUGGUGCCGGUGGAACUAAAGCCUUCGGAGGAAUUAGCGAAAUUCCAAUGUGUGCGAAUCUGCAAAAAAUGCGAAAUAACCCUUUAACCGUACAUUUUACAGAUACGUGGCCAUUGACUUUUUCGAAGAUCUUAUGUAAAUACACGUGUAUGUAAAAUUUUGUGUCAAUACGACAAAACAUACAGGCGUAGCACUCAACAAUGUGUAUUUUCACCUUAGUGGACAAGAAAAAAUUGACUUUUUUCUCCUGCCAUGGGGGGGCGCUCUUUUGCCGAGUAAAAAUUCCUUCACAAAUGUGUUGAUGGCUGGACAUUGCAUCAUCCUAGAAAACUUGGAGGCCAGUGGGGACAAAAAUAAAAAGUUAUAAGACUUUUAAAUAUGUGGAUUUUACGGUUAUCUUUGGCUCCCCUAGAACCUAAACCGUGGGGUGCAGCGUCAUGAUUUGAAUAACUUUUAAUGGCCAUGGGGUGUAGAUUGGCCUGAGCAAAUGUGGUGCCGGUGGAACGAAAGCCUUCGGAGGAGUUAGCGAAAUUCCAAUGUGUGCGGAUCGGCAAAAAAUGCGGAAUAACCCUUUAACCGUACAUUUGACAGAUACGCGCGCAUUGACUUUUUCGUAGAUCUUAUUGAGAUACAUGUGUGUGUCAAUUUUUGUGUCAUUUUGCCAAAGCGUACAGGUGUUACACUCAACAAUGUGUAUUUUCACCUUAGGGGACAAGAAAAAAUGGACUUUUUUCUCCUGCCAUGGGGGGGCGCUCUUUUGGGGAGUAAAAAUUCCUUCACAAAUGUGUUGAUGGCUGGACAUUGCAUCAUCCUAGAAAACUUGGAGGCCAGUGAGGGCAAAAAUAAAAAGUUAUAAGACUUUUAAAUAUGUGGAUCUUAGGGUUAUCUUUGGCGCCCCCUAGAACCUAAACCGUGGGGUGCAGCGUCAUGAUUUGAAUAACUUUUAAUGGCCAUGGGGUGUAGAUUGGCCUGAGCAAAUGUGGUGCCGGUGGAACGAAAGCCUUCGGAGGAGUUAGCGAAAUUCCAAUGUGUGCGGAUCGGCAAAAAAUGCGAAAUAACCCUUUAACCGUACAUUUGACAGAUACGCCCGCACUGACUUUUUUGUAGAUCUUAUUGAGAUACAUGUGUGUGUCAAUUUUUGUGUCAUUUUGACAAAGCGUACAGGCGUGACAGUCAAUAGUGUGAAUUUUCACCUUAGGGGGCGCUAUGGAGCCAUUUUGCAUUUUCUUGUUUGGGCGACUUCGGAAUAUCAAAUUUUUCACCAGGCCCGGUCGUCCUGCCAAAUUUCAUGAGUUUUCGCCAGUGGGAAGUGGGCCAUUUUCCAGUUCAAAGGGGAGGAAAAAGAAGAACUAGGGCCCCGUUGGGGCACUGGCGGGCCCGAGCCGCGUUGCGCCGCCCCCAGUGCGACCGCCUCCCCCUCCCGAUCGCGUCACACUCAAGGUCCAAAGAUGGUGUGCGCACUUGUCUGUGGUCAUUUCCCAUUAUAAUGAAUGGGAGGCGCAGUUUCUACCAAAACACUCGCUGCAGACAAACUACAUGUCCUAUUUGAAAAAAGUCUGGACCAUGAGUGAGGCCACAAACACAGCUAGGAUAUAUCCAAACGGCAAGUUGCUCCUUGUUACGGUGUUGCCGGGAGAGCGAUGCGAUUGAGCCAUUGAGUGAUGGGCAGGAAAAACUUGACUGUUUCUCCUGCCAUGGGGGAUGGGGGCUGGGGGGGGGGAUGUGGAUUCUUUUAAGAAUGUGGAUAUUUGGGUCAUCUUUGGCGCCCCCUAGAACGUGAGCCGUGGGGUGCAGCGUCAUGAUUUUUACAACUUUGAAUGGCCAUGGGGUGUAGAUUGGCCUGAGCAAAUUUGGUGUCAGUGGGACGAAAGCCUUAGGAGGAGUUAGCCACAUUCCAAUGUGUGCGAAUCGGCAAAAAAUGCAAAAUAGCCCUUUAACCGUACAUUUGACAGAUACACGCCCAUUGACUUUUUCGUAGAUCUUAUUGAGAUACACGUGAUUGUCAAAUUUUGUGUCAAUAUGACAAAGCGUAUAGGCGUGAAUCUCAACAAUAUGUAUUUUCACCUUAGGGGACAAGAAAAAAUGGACUUUUUUCUCCUGCCAUGGGGGGGCGCUCUUUUGCCGAGUAAAAAUUCCUUCACAAAUGUGUUGAUGGCUGGACAUUGCAUCAUCCUAGAAAACCUGGAGGCCAGUGAGGACAAAAAUAAGAAGUUAUAAGACUUUUAAAUAUGUGGAUUUUACGGUUAUCUUUGGCGCCCCCUAGAACCUAAACCGUGGGGUGCAGCGUCAUGAUUUGAAUAACUUUUAAUGGCCAUGGGGUGUAGAUUGGCCUGAGCAAAUGUGGUGCCAGUGGAACGAAAGCCUUAGGAGGAGUUAGCCACAUUCCAAUGUGUGCGGAUCGGCAAAAAAUGCGGAAUAACCCUUUAACCGUACAUUUGACAGAUAUGCGCGCAUUGACUUUUUCGUAGAUCUUAUUGAGAUACAUGUGUGUGUUAAUAUUUGUGUCAUUUUGCCAAAGCGUACAGGCGUGACACUAAACAAUGUGUAUUUUCACCUUAGGGGACAAGAAAAAAUAGACUUUUUUCUCCUGCCAUGGGGGGCGCUCUUUUGGGGAGUAAAAUUUCCUUCACAAAUGUGUUGAUGGCUGGACAUUGCAUUAUCCUAGAAAACUUGGAGGCCAGUGAGGACAAAAAUAAAAAGUUAUAAGACUUUUAAGAAUGUGGAUUUUUGGGUUAUCUUUGGCGCCCCCUAGAACCUUCACCGUGGGUUGCAGCGUCAUGAUUUGUACAACUUUUAAUGGCCAUGGGGUGUAGAUUGGCCUGAGCAAAUUUGGUGCCGGUGGAACGAAAGCCUUCGGAGGAGUUAGCGAAAUUCCAAUGUGUGCGGAUCGGCAAAAAAUGCAAAAUAGCCCUUUAACCGUACAUUAUACAGAUACGCGCUCUAUGACUUUUUUGUAGAUCUUAUUGAGAUACACGUGAUUGUCAAAUGUUUUGUCAAUAUGACAAAGCGUUUAGGCGUGACACUCAACAAUGUGUAUUUUCAUGUUAGGGGACAAGAAAAACUUGACUUUUUUCUCCUGCCAUGGGGGGGCGCUCUUUUGGGGAGUAAAAAUUCCUUCACAAAUGUGUUGAUGGCUUGACAUGGCAUCAUCCUAGAAAACUUGGAGGCCAGUGAGGACAAAAAUAAAAAGUUAUAAGACUUUUAAGAAUGUGGAUUUUUGGGUUAUCUUUGGCGCCCCCUAGAACCUUCACCGUGGGUUGCAGCGUCAUGAUUUGUACAACUUUUAAUGGCCAUGGGGUGUAGAUUGGCCUGAGCAAAUGUGGUGCCGGUGGAACGAAAGCCUUCGGAGGAGUUAGCGAAAUUCCAAUGUGUGCGGAUCGGCAAAAAAUGCGAAAUAGCCCUUUAACGGUACAUUUGACAGAUACGCCCGCACUGACUUUUUUGUAGAUCUUAUUGAGAUACACAUGUGUGUCAAAUUUUGUGUCAUUUUGACAAAGUGUACAGGCGUCAGGUGAGUUUUCACCAUAGGGGGCGCUAUGCAGCCAUUUUUCAUUUUUUUGUUUGGGCGACUUCAGAAUAUCAAAUUUUUCACCAGGCCCGGUCGUCCUGCCAAAUUUCCUGAGUUUUCGCCAGUGGGAAGUGGGCCAUUUUCCAGUUUAAAGCGGAGGAAAAAUAACGAAAGAAGAAUCCAUCAGGAACAAGAGGGCUCUCGCAGCUGCUUAGCAGCUACGCUCGGGCCCUAAUAAUAAUAAUAACAAAAGAAGGAAACUACAGGAACAAGAGGGCUCUCGCAGCUGCUUAGCAGCUACGCUCGGGCCCUAAAGAAGAAUCCAUCAGGAACAAGAGGGCUCUCGCAGCUGCUUAGCAGCUACGCUCGGGCCCUAAAAACCACUUGGGGAAUAAUAGGGCUCUCGCAGCUGCUUAGCAGCUACGCUCGGGCCCUAAUAAUCAUAAUAAUACAUUUUAUUUGUAAAGCGAGCGUUUUUCAAAAACACAAAGACGCUGUACAUGUGUUAAGCAAUAACAAUAAAACACACAUCGAUAAGCAAUAAAAUUUACAACAAUAUCAAUAAAAACGUGUAAGGAGGCUAAGGAGGAUGAAAGGCAGUGCGGAAGAGGUGGGUUUUGAGAAGGGUCUUGAAUCUGGUGAGGUCAGUGCAGUUUCUAAGUUCGAGUGGGAGUGAGUUCCAGAGGGUGGGGGCGGCGACUGAGAAGGCUCUGUCCCCCCAGGUUCGGUGCUUGGUCAGGGGAACUAUGAGGAGGUUGGCAUUGGCGGAGCGGAGGGUGCGGGAGGGGGUGUAGGGGUGGAGAAGAUCCUGUAGGUGGGGGGGGGGGCCAGGUUGUGGAGUGCUUUGUGGGUGAGAAGGAGGAUUUUGUAUUGAAUGCGAUGGGGGAUGGGGAGCCAGUGAAGGUUUUGGAGGACGGGGGUGAUGUGUUGGUGGGAGCGUGUGUGGGUGAGGAGGCGGGCGGCUGAGUUCUGGAUAAGCUGAAGUUUAUUGAGGAGAGUGGAGGUAGUGCCAUGGAGGAGAGUGUUACAGUAAUCUAGAUGAGAUGAGAUGAAUGCAUGUAUGAGGGUUUCAGCUGCAGGGUAGGAGAGGGAGGGGCGGAGGCGUGAAAUGUUUUUGAGGUGGUAGUAUGCUGUUUUGGUGAUUUGCUUUACAUGCUGUGUGAAGGUGAGGUUGCUGUCAAAGAGAAUACCAAGGUUGCGACAGUGGGGGGAGGGGGAGAGGGUGGAGUUGUUAAUGGAGAGAUGAAAGUCUGUGACUGUGGAGGUGAGGGAGUUUGGGCUGAUGACGAUGAGAUCUGUUUUGUCAUAGUUGAGUUUGAGAAGAUUGCUGUCCAUCCAGUGUUUAAUAUCAGAGAGGCAGUUUGAGAGGGAGUGUUGGGUCUGGGGGGUGAUGGAGUUGGAAGAGAUAUAUAAUUGAAUGUCAUCAGCGUAGCAGUGGAAGUGGAGGUUGUGUUGACGGAGGAUGUGGCCAAGAGGGAGGAGGUAGAUGAUGAAGAGGAGGGGACCAAGCACCGAGCCCUGGGUGACACCUUGGGACACGGGGGCAGUUGUGGAGGAGCAGUUGUUAAUGUGGAUGAAGUGAUUCCGGUCUGUGAGGUAAGAGUGGAUCCAGUUAAGAGCGGUGUUUGUGAUAUUGAGGAGGGAGUGUAGGCGGGACAGGAGGAUGGCGUGGUCGAUGGUGUCGAAAGCAGCGGAGAGGUCGAGGAGGAUGAGGAUGGAGAGUUGGCCGGAGUCAGCAGAAAUGAGGAGGUCGUUUGUGACUUUGAUGAGGGCAGUUUCGGUGCUGUGGUGGGUGCGGAAUCCUGAUUGAAACGGUUUGUAAAGGUUGUUAUUGUUGAGGUGGGUUUUGAUUUGUGAUGCAAUGACACGUUCGAGGAUUUUUGACAGGAAAGGGAGGUUGGAGAUGGGCCGGAAGUUAUUGAUGUUGUCGGGGUUGAGUCCGGGUUUUUUGAGGAUGGGGGUGACAGCGGCCAGUUUGAGUGAAGGGGGAACAGUGGCGGAGUUGAGGGAGGAGUUGAUGAUCUGUGUGAUGAUGGGGGAGAUGAUGGGGAGGCAGUGCUUGAUGAGGGAGGAUGGGAUGGGAUCCAGGAUGCAGGUGGAUGAUGACAUGGACCAGAUGAUAUUGGUCACAUCGGUUGAGGAAACAGGUGAGAAGCAGGAGAGUGCUGAUGGGAUGAGGGGAGGAGCGGGGAAUGGAGGGUGGGGGAAGGGAGUUGUAGAUUGUGUUGAUUUUGGAUUGAAAAGAGGAGAGGAAUGUGUUGCACUUUUCCGGGGUGAAGGUGAUUUUGGUUACUGGAGCCGGAGUGGAUGAGGUUGGAGUAAAAGGUGGAGGUGGUCGGUGUAGGCUUGGAGAUGGACGGUGAGGCCGGUUUUGCGGUAUAGACGUUCCAGUUGUCGUUUGUGGGAUUUCAUUUUGUGUAGUUCUGAGGUAAACCAGGGGGCAGAGUGUCUGAAUGAAACCGUUUUUGUUUUGAGAGGUGCGAGCUGGUCCAGGCAGGAGGAUAGAGUGUUAUUGUAGUAGUUGAGUAGGUCAGGAAGUUUAGCAGAUGGUGAGGGAAGGGAUGCAGUGAGGGUGGCAGAUAGGGAAGCGGAGAGGUCCUGAGGCGAGAUGGAUUUGAGGUUUCUGAAGGAAAUUUGUCGUUUUUCACUGUGGGGGGGGGGGGUCGACGUUGAAAGUGACAGCCAGGUGGUCAGAUAUAUAGAGGUUGAUGGUGGAGAGAUGGUGGAUGGAGGUGCCGGUGGAGCAGACGAGGUCGAGGGUGUGGCCAUGGGAGUGGGUGGGGGAGUGUACAUGCUGGGUGAGGUUGAGGGUGUCGAGCAGAUCCAGGAAUUCGGAUGCUUGUUUGCAGGUGGGGUUGUCAAUGUGAAAGUUGAAGUCUUCAAGCAGCAGGACAGAGGAUGAGAUGGUGUUUAGGUGGGUGACAAAGUCAGAGAAGUCAGAGAGGAAUGAUGGGUGGGGCUUUGGAGGGCGGUAGAUAGUGACAAUGACCAGAGGGGUGGGGCCGGGGAGUUUGACGGAAAUAUUUUCAAAUGAGUGGACGGACAGGGUGGGGACGGGGGUGGUCUUGAGGGUUUGUUUGUGGAUGACUGCGACGCCACCGCCUCGUCCAGUGAGGCGGGGUUGGUGCAGGUAGGAGUAAGCGGGGGGGGGGGGGGGGGGCUUGGUUGAGUGGAAAGAGGUCAAGAUGGUUGUGCCAGGUUUCAGUUAGAUAGAGGAAGUCCAGUUUAUUGUCUGUUAUGAAGUCAGCUAGGAUGAGUCCUUUGUUAUUGAGGGAGUGGGGGUGGGCAGUGAGGCAGGGGGAAGGCAGCUGAGGUUUCUUUGAUUUCUUGUCCUUCUUUUUAGAUGCAUGGGAUUUGAGCGGGAGGGUCCAGUAGUUGUAAUAAUUGUUUGAACUGUUUGCAAUUGUUUGCAAGGAGAGUCUGUGGUUGGAGGGUGUAGGAGCUGUUUGGACUAGGAGGGGGAGAUUGAUGUAGUGGGGGCGAUGGGGUUGGUGUGCAGUACCAGUUGGGGCCUGUUGGGGGAGCCGGUGGUGGGGGUGGUGAGGGUGAGGGUGAGGGUUCCGGAGGGGGGCCUCUGGGGGGCGCUGUUUCCAGGUGGGGUAGUGGAAGAAGAUGACAGGGAGUGUGUAAACAAUGUUAGUCAGUUGGUGUGUAUGCGGUGUUGGAUAUUAGCGGCAAGUGUCUGAUGGCCCAGUUUGUUUGGGUGAAGUCCGUCAUUAGAGAAAAAUGGGGGUCGGUUCCAGAACAGGUUAAAAUUGUCAAUGAAGUGGGUGGAGAGGGUGCUGCAGAGGGCCCGAAGCCAGGAGUUUAGGCUGAGGAGGCGGCUAAAACGAUCGAUUUUUGGAGGGAUUACAAGUUUUACACAGUGAGGAGCAGGUCUGAGUAGGCUAGUUUACUGUAGCUGUUAGCGAGGAGGCUAGACUCCGCCUCUUUGCCUCUUGGACGGUUGAACAAAAGUGAAGUUGAGUCAGCAUUUGUUGUACAGUGAUAGCCUUUAAAACAAUGUCAAAAUCAGUAAGUGAAGCCACUACGCUGCUGCUACAUUCCAAAUAUGCUGAUCCUGUAUGAGAUACCCAACACUGCACUACGGAACGCACUCAAUACGGAUCCUGUAUGUUUUCGGCUUGAGGCCACUUAGACUGUGUCCAUGCUUCCUACAUCAUGGUCACCAGCAGGCAGAGGAGCAGAAACUUCAGGAGCGUUUUUUUCUGACUGUGCUUGAACAGAACAGUAGAUGCAGCAGAUACAGCACCAUCCUACAGUCACAUAAUCACAGUCCCAUGAUCAGCCUGCAUGUCAAAUGUUAGCUAAAACAUCAAACUUCGGUGGCUCAGAUGAUUCGCUGAAAUGUUCAGGAUGGUUGAUUGAGAAGUUUAGAUGAUGAUGAUGAUGAUGAUGAUCUCAGGGACCGUGAGGAAGAGGAAACACUGCUGUGAAUCUCAUAAUGGCAGUCUGCCACAGAUCGCCAUCCCCCUGUUUGGCUGUGAAUAUCCUCAGAGUGAAGGUAGUGUGGAUCACUGAGGGGGGUUUCAGCUCUUGUUCCUGGUCCAGAUCAUUUGGCUCAGUCCAACAACAAGACCCGGUUCUUCCAGCUCCAUGUGGGUUUGAGAAAACCAGCCGUCAGCCUUUCAUUCUGUCAUUGACGACCUUUAAAAGCAUUUUAACCUUUGGUGAUCAUAAAUCCUGCAGGAUUAUUAUCAUGAUCUGAAUUCAUCAUUAAAACAGAUUCUUUAAUUUUGGUGAUUAUGUCCACAGGAUCCAGAACCUCACAGUCAGGGUUUUGUUGUGGGUCUGGGCUCUGACUGUGCCUCACAUGGACCACACAUGGCUGCAGGAGCCAACCAUGCAGACUGAAGUCCCAGAGCGCCUGAUUAUUCUCCUCUGGUUGGUGGAAAUAAUGUGGUUUGCAAAGUCCAGACACGUCAUCAUUUCCUUUCUGUAGCCUCCUGCUCAACAUUACAGAAUAUUCAGACAUGACUCAGUCUCUAUGAAAGGUGUUUUUCCCCCCGAGGAUCUGCUGGACUGCAGUUUUAGUCUGCCAUGACAAUCUUGGAAGGGUUCUGAUGGUUCUGGUGCCAGCUGUAGUUGGACUCACUGACUAAAGUCUGUUUUCAAAUCUGUUUAUAUCCUUAUUUAUGAAGCUCACAGAAGACUGAAGCUCUGAAAUCUGAUAGAGAAACCUGUUCAGCAUGGAGGACUUCAUGAGGUCUUAUGUGUGGAUGUCAGCAUGUAGGGGAGACCGGGGCUUGUUGUCACACUUUUUACAUUCUCAUAUAUUUCUUGUAAUCUAUACAUUAUAUAUAAACAAAAUGUGUACCAGACAAAAGACCAAAGUCUCAGGUAAGUAUUUCGUAUUCAUGUCAUUUUCAUAUCUUGUGUCAGUGAAGAGUUAUAAUCAAUCAAAUAGAGAGUGUGAUCAUGUGACAUGUUGCCCCACCGUCGGGUAAGAUGUCACAGUGGAUUUAGCAGCUGAUAAAACAAGAACAAAAUUAUUGUGGCUCUCAUUUCUCAAAUACCACUGCCCUGCCCACAAAUUUAUCAAAACAGCGCCAAUAUUCCCGGCUGCUCACUUGCAUAGCCCCGGUUAGAACCAUGGCGAAAGUAUGACUUGAAAAAGAGGCAGCGUUUGCUCUGUUGUUGGCUGCACAAACGAGCACAAAACUGUUUUGAAAACUCCCUCGUCUGAGGAUUUGAGGACUCAAUGGGUGGAUUUUAUUUAAAAUGGGAAUGUACCCGCGGCACUUCCAAAAUAUCUGUACGUAUGUGCGCACCAUUUCAUGUCGGACUGUUUUAUCAACGAGGGACAGUUCAACGCUGGAUUUGAUAGAUGUCUGAAGAUAAAGAAUGGAUCCGUACCAACUAUCCGUGAUCCUACUACAAACGUGGCAUCUGUAAGUAUGAACGUUUUAUUUUGACUUACUGUUGAGCCUAAAUUCCCCCCGGUGACUCAGCACGGCCACCACGCUUUGAUAAACACAGCCGCUCGCUUCUUCCCCGACAACUCCGCCAGCGGGGGACAAAAUCCCCCUCCGGAGCAGCAUGUAGCUAUUGCAUUUACCCGUGCGGCGACGCGCCUCAUUUGGCUCAAAUACGGGAUGUCCCGGCUAAUGCUGGACAGUCGGCCAUCCUAUUAAUUAGCAAAGGCUUCAGAGCCUUUGAAAGCACAAAAAUCUUACAUUGUAGCAGAGCUCUGGUUGUAAUUUUUUCUACAUUCAUAUCUUCCUCCUUAAGCGUGACCCUCCUGGCGACUUUGAAUAAUACAUAAGAUGUGUCGACUAGGUCGCUUCAAGUCGCGUUUGGUCUGAACACGGCUGAGAGUUUCUUCUGGAGCCUCUCCCUCUGGGUCAGACUCUGGCUCAAACUGGUAGGGUUGUAUGAGCGAUCUUCUUGCAGCCAUGACCGAGCCAGUGUAAACAUUAGCACAUGGCUAUCGGAGCACAGCCAAAGCCCCUUCCAGAGAGAUGGGUGUAAAGUGGACGUGGCUUAGGUGCAGCUCAUUUCAUUAAAGAGACAUGGCCCAAAACGGAGGAUUUUGAGCGAAGCUGUUUUUAGCUGAUAAAAAGAGCACUAAAAUAAUUGAUCCAAAUCGAAUUUUGACCGAAGGACGUCACCGACCUCCUGAACUGAUACACAGCUGAACGGUUCAGGAUUCAGUUCAUAGCUUCUAGGACCAGGAGACUAGAGUGUUUGUCUGUGUUGCUUUGACAAACAGGUUUGUAAAAAUGAACUUGUUUAUAAGUCAUGAUGUUUUCAGUGUACUGUCCUACGGUAUGCUAAUUAUCAGGUCUGCUCGGUAAACUGGGCUCAGUGAGUGAUUCGUUCACUGAACAUUUAGAAGAAUUCACACUGAACAUAGGAUAGGAUGCUGCGGGUUUAAUGCACUACUUGUUACCUGCUGUAUCCUGUUGUAUGCAAUUUGUUGUGGUGGCAAUUUAGCAGUGAAAAAAAAAGGUAGUUCUGUCCGACAAAAAUGAUUCCAGAGAGUGUAGUUCAAUGUGUGAUUCAUUCACCAAGUGAUUUAGGCGUCAGUGCUUGGGGUCCCUCGUUUGCCGGCUGCUGGCCUGGCAAUGCUGUUUCUCACCUCAUCUCAACUGAAGUGAGACACGAACAAAUCACUCCAGGAAGUGAUUCAGUGGUGCAGUACGUUCACUUAAGUCGUUUUUUUUUAAACGAAUCAUUCGCAAACGACACAACACUACUGGGGUUGAAUGUUUUACAGUACAGAGCUAAGGUAGUUGACAUUGAAGUCCUUUAUUGUCCUCCAGAUUGAUUUAUUAGCGAGGGUCACCUGUCUGACUGUCCUCAGCAUCGUCAGCAACGUCAGGAACUGCACUGACAUGUUCUGUUUUUCUUUUCUAAUUCCUGACCAUGUCUUCUCUCUUUCUCCUCUCCUUUAAACCACUCUUUUUCCUCUGGAAAAAUAAAGUCAAAAUUUCAAUACGACAACUGCUGAUAAUCAGACUCCCUAUGUUAAUUUUAAUCUCUUUUAAACAUGUGAAAACUAACCCCAAAAUGACUGAGACAUGUUGCCCCAAACGACCAUGUUUGCUAAUUAAAGCUCUAGAUUAAAAUUACUUAAAACAGAACAAUGAGUGAGGUAUGACAGGAUUAAUUAAUCUCUCCUCUAACAAGUCCACAUGUUUCACUGCAAGGAUUUCUAUCUGGAAGAAGUUUAUUUUAAAAUAUAUAAAGUUAUUUUUUUACUUCAGGUUGUGUGAAAUGGUUAAUUAGCGCUCAUCUCAACUCACAAUGUUCUCUUCUCAGACAGAACACGACUGCUGACCAUGGAAAGGAAGAAAACUAGUAUUUUACUUUUAAGUUGCGCCCUCUGGUGGCAAACAUAAUUGCAAUGUGACAAUUUACCCAUGUGACAACAAGCUCCGGUCUCCCCUACAUUUGUUUCCUGUUUGAAUCCAAAAACACUUAAACCUGUUUUUCUCAGAACUACAUGAAACCAUGAACCCCCUUAUUUCCCCAAAACACAUAGGAUAAGGUCCACACAUACAUAUAUGUGUGUGUGUGUGUGUGUGUGUGUGUGUGUGUGUGUGUGUGUGUGUGUGUGUGUGUGUGAGUGUGUGUGUGUUAGCGAGUGAGAAUCAAACAGAAACAUCUGAAUCUGUUUCUGUGACGGUGUGAUCAGCAGGAAAACAUGCACCUCACACACACACACGCACACACACACACACAUUCGCACACACAAACUCCAUGCCUUCAGCUGAGCAUGGUGGGUGUGUGUGUGUGUGUGUGUGUGUGUGUGUGUGUGUGUGUGUGUGUGUGUGUGUUCCCACGGCGCAGUCAUUUAUCGCUCUCUGCAGAGAAAAGUGAGCGUUGGAUGAGCGCGGCGCUGACAGCAGGUCAGAAACACAUCACUGAGACCUCAGGGGGCUGAUGGGGUUUCUGUUAGGAGCUGAAUGUGGACCUGCAGAGCCCGGUCUGUGACUCUGCUGAAGACCUGGACUUGCAGGGACACAGAGGAGAAACCGCACUGCUGCAGGAGCGUGGGAACUGAUAAACAUGAACGUGUGGAACAACGUUUGUUACACGUGUUUGUUUUUUGCACCUUAGUUUUUCAUUCUUAUCAUCUUAUCUCAAAUCAUAUAUUCAUCAUAUAGAAGCUGAUUCUCAUGUCUCAUACGUCUCAUCCCAGAUAGCAAAAUAGGGUUGAAUCAACGUUAGAAGAUAGUCAGGCAGAAUGAAUUAAUCUACGUUGAAACCUAACGUUGAAACUGUACAGUGCAAAGGAAUUCCAUCUUGAUUCAACGUUGGGGUUUCAACCACUAACUGACACUUUAUCAACAUUGAUUCAACCAUCAUCUAAAUGGUAAUCUGCCUGCACAUUUUAGUUGAUUUUAUGUUGAAUCAACAUCAGGAAUCAACACUGAUUCAACCAUCAUCUAAAUGGAAACCUACAUGUACAUAAAUUGAUUUAUUGAAUCAUGUUAGAAUUCAAUUUUGAUCCUGAUCAUCCAACAAUCUAAUGGUAAUCUGCAUGUACAUGUUAAAUUAUGUGUAUGCUGAUAUACUUUAAGACUACGGGCUCUAUUUUCGUGUACGCCCGUGAGGCGGCGGAGGGCGGCGAGCCCCGUGCAGUUGUAUUUUCGUCUGGCGCAGCCCGGCAUACAGCCAGUUUGGUAUUUUCUUGGAAUGAGGCGCACGGAGGCGAGCCGAGAGCCGCCAAGCUGGGCGUGGUGGCGUGGCAGGGGGAGGUGUCGACAGAAUCAGUGGGCGCAGUGACAUUUUCGUGCUCGCCACCGGCGUGUAAAGUGCACUGAAAGCUCGCUGAUUCAAACCUGGUCAGCUUUCAGCGCAGGCGGAACGCAGCUGGUCUAGUAGUAUUUUGGUAGACCGGCGGCGUAUUGGCAUACGUCACUGAUGCCUCACCGGCAGGUUUCCACAGUGUCAGGCACAUUUCAGUGCAAUAAAUAAUCAUCAACAACUAAUAAUCUGAGUCAGCACACACAUUUAGAUCUAUAUCGAUAUAUUCUGAUCUAUAUCUGAUCUGAUGAGCACGUUUGGCACGCGUUUGGACACACAACCUGACCGAAUCAACACAGCUGAAACCGCAUUAAAUUACAUUAAAUAUCUAGUAAAUAGACACACAUGAUGAAGUUAACAAGAUAUGUCUCUGUGUCCUCUCUCUGUCCUAAUUCAGCAGCGGUUGAACAGAUGAUUUGUUUCAGCGCUCAGAUGCGUUAUCUACUUAAAGCCGACAUACGGAUAUUAUAAUAUUCAGUUUUGUGAGCCAAAUUUAUUUUAUAUGCCAACAUCUAUGAAAGAAAGAGCCAGGCCACGGAGCGCGAUGCGUCAUUUACGCACAGAUGGUUCCGAUUUUAAUGCCAUUAUUGGAGUUUAUGUUGUGAUCUGUGCGCUCAACCCACCUUUGUCACGUGAGGUUUGAAUAUGAGCAACUUUAUGUGAGUGUCUUUAUUUGUGGAAAAGGGUGUUUGUCUUACCAGUGGGUCCAACAUUACACACACCAAAUCCAUCUGUGCUCAUAUGAGAGAGUGUGGAGGAUGCCCAAUGUAGCACUUACAGUGACACUUGUUGAGGAGCUGCCCUUUGUCGCCAUCGUGUGGCAUAACUGUCUUCAGACAUCUCUUGAUCUCUUUGACUACUUCAUGAAAAUAGUAAUACGCCUCGCUGGUGGCGGAUUUAAAGGCAAGGAGAGGAGCUUAUGUGAUUGGUGAAAACAGGUCUCGGCUGUGUUAAACCCACUCUCCGCCCUCUCUCCUCCCUCGCUACGACGCCGCUGGGAGGAGCUGAGUUAGGGAGGGGGGAUACUUACGCCGGGCUGCACCGCUCACCAAAAUACCAAAUUGCGCUUGGGAACGCCUUGUCGGCACGGCGGACCUCACUUACGCCGCACAUGCGCCGCGUCGCCGGCGAGGCACGAAAAUAGAGCCCUACAUCUUAAUAGCUUGUUCAAAAUUACCUUUUCGUAAAAUGUGAAAAUAAAUAUUAAAAAUGAAAUAAAAAAUAAAGACAGACAACAUGAUUUUAAACUUAAAAUUUAUUGAACAUCAAGGCCUUGACAAUUGCCGAUAACGUAGCUGAAAGAAAAAGUCCAGAGUAGUCCAGAUUUGUAGAAAAUCCAGAGUAGUAGAAAUGUUGAAAAUGUAGAAAAUUAGUAGCCUGGCUGGGCCAUCCUGUUGCGUGAAUCACUUGCCGUCCCUUCCCACAACAGUCUGGACUUAGGUCCAUUGGGAGCGUGUAUUCCCAAUCAGAAAAUAACCAGGCCAAUCAGUGACUGUGUUUCCACUGUUACCCGGACAACAGGGAAAGGCAGCCCCUGAUUGGUCCAUGUGUGGAUUGUGACGUCUAACACAUGCUGCGGGACUUUUCAAAGCGCAUUCAGAACGCCGUUAAUUCUGCAGUUGACUUUGCAAAGUCGGCAGAAAUUGUUUAUAUCCAACGUCUUCUGUGGAACAGUGGAAACACAGUCACUGAUUGGCCCGGUUAUUUUCUGAUCGCUAAUACAUGCUCCCAAUGGGCCGAAGCCCAGACUGUUGUGGGAAGGAACGGCAAGUGAUUCACGCAACAGGAUGGCCCAGCCAGGCUAAGGACAUCAAGCAUAAGCACAAAACAAAGCUUGUUUGCUUCACUGAAAACAGUUAAGAUCAAAGAAAUAUGUCAAACUUACUGUGCAAGACAGGCAGAGAAGGUCGGAGGAGUGAUCGAUGCAGUAGGUCCGGCAGGAGAGGAGACUAUUGCUGCGUCCGAAUUGCCAAGUAGUAGUCGAAGUAGUAUCUAGCAUGUCCGAAUUGGCCACCGGAGCGAGAAGCAUGCUACUUCAGAUACUACUUCAGAUACUAGACACGCCCACAUUGUAGUAUGGUCGUGGUGCAUCCUACGGGCAUGCUACUGACCCAAAAUGCACCGUGGGCUUCUUCUUUGUCCUCUUAAAAGUUGUAGAAUGGCUUGUGAUGCUAGCGCCACCAGCUGCUGCCUAUUUAGAUGCGUAGUGAACGCCGGCUGGCCACAGCAGUGCACACCAUGGCACAGCAGCAGCAGCAGACAGACACACUGUCCUAAAAAAAUGUGCGGUUGUAUCUCUUUGUCAUGUCAUGGUGUCAUAUUUGCCCAAGUCAUCAUUUUAUGAGCAAAUAUGUGGCGACAUCAUGGAGGUAAAGCUCACUUUUUCCAUCAUUAAACUGCACAGCUGCAGUAAUCAGGCAGAUCUCAUUGAACAAACAAUCACCACGUGAGUGAAUGAAGGCUAAAAGUAAUGGAAAAGCUACUUUGUGAAUUUCUAAAGCAGUGCAGGAAUAUAAUACAGCAGCAUCCAUCACUUGCACAAUUACCAUUCAAAGAGUCUAAAACUGUCUGCAUGGGCACAGUACCUACUCUCUGCCUGCGGGGGUCGUCUUUCCCCACCGCUCAUCUAGUGUGUCCGAAUUGGGCCAACGUGUUUAGUAUGUAGGAGUAGGAUCUAGCAGUAGUAUGUAGCAGUAGUAUGUAGUAUGCGAGUGGGAAAAUUUGGACACAGCAUGAGAGAGGAAAUUCUUCUUCUUCUUUUGGCUUUUCGGCAGUCUAGAUGCCCAUCGGCAUAUUGCUGCCUCCCACAGUUCGUGCUAGGAAUUUAUACUGUGGCCUUACACCUUAUGGUACAGGCCUGUGUCCCAGGCCUGUACCAUAACACCACCACAGUAUUUUGUUGUUCCUCAGGCUUGAGUAGAUUCCUCAGAGAGAGAGAGGAAAUUGGUUGGGACAUACCACUAAGUUUUAAUCGGGGUAUUUUGGAAUGCUCUAGAAUCUCCUCUGAGGGUAAUUAUAUUUUUGUGAUUAAAAAUUAUGCAUAAACCGUCAGAAGACUAUUUAAAGCAAAAUCACAACCCAUUGUCCUCAAGGUGUUGAGAAUUUAGGCCUUGAUUUAAAAUGCAUUAAUGCAACACCCCCGCCCAUAAAAUGCUCUCACCCAGUCUUCAGAGAAUGAAUAGGGAGGGAACCAACUACUUCGUCACACUUUAAGAUGUUUCAAACAUGAAUUGCAAUAUAAAUAAUAUGUAAAUUAUUAUUAUUAUUAUUAUUAUUAUCAUUAUUGUUGUUGUUGGGAUGGUCCUGCUGACAAUGAUUUAAAUCAAUGUUGUCAUUUCAAUCAUUAAAUGGGAGAAAAAAAGAAAAGAAAAAGGCAAACACCAUAGAUUCAACGUUGAUUCAAUGUUGGCAUUUCAAUCAAUGAAUUGUGCACUACAAUACAACAGUGAUUCAAUGUUGAACAACCAUCAGUCUUCAAUCGUAACCAAAAAUCAACCUUUUCUACCAAAAUUCAACGUUGAAUAACUAUCUUUUGCUAUCUGGGAUGGCACAAAACUCUACAUGCAUCAUAUGAAGUGUUGGCAGGAGUGAAUCUGAAGAGGAAACUGAAGAUAUUCAGAAAACACUCAGUUUGUCUCUGAAGAAGCUGAAUCACUGAAAUGAAAUAAAAGAGACAAACCUGAAGGGAGAGAAUUCACAAGCAGAGCUUAUUUCCAUUUCCUAUGGUGUUUCUUCAACUUAAUUAAAUUGAUCAAUGCUUCUUCUUCUUCUUUGUCUUUCAGUUUUGCCUUUUUUUAUCUUGUUUCUUCCACAGGUGGGCGGAGGAUCAGCUUCUUUUCUCUGAGACUCUGUUUUUGUUCAAUAAGAGGAAAACUCUGAGUUUAUAGGCAUGAAGAUGUUCAGAUCAUACAUGAAACCUCUUGUCUUUACUUGUUUUCUGCUCAGUGUCAAUUCUGGUGACUCUUUCUGUCUGUCAUGAUAGCAUGUACUGAGUCGGGGCCAGUACCAGAUAAGCACAUUAAAUUAUAAUCCAUUAAUGUAAGGUAACAACCGAGACCUAAUGGAGCUGUGACAGCAACGCUGUGAUUGAGUUUGAGACAGUGAAAAUACAUAUGGUAUGUUGUAUCUGAACAGGUUAGCUUACGAGCUAAAGUUACUUAGUGUGGCAGGUUGCUGCUGCACCUCCACUCAAGUGGCAUCAGCUGCAUCCAAUCUCCAGUGGUGCCUGGCUUGAUUGCAGGGCGGGAGGUUUAUAAGUUCUGUCCUCUCAUUCAACCCAGUGCUACCUGACGUUCACUCGACGGUCUGUGUGAUUGUCCGCUGGUCAUUGGGUUUGAUCAUUGUGGGACAGAAAAGCGUGGUCUGCUGCUGGCGUGGAGGUAGAGGUGUUUUGAGUGUGGUGUUGGCUCUUUUUAUCAUCAAAAGACGGUGACUGGUUUGGCGAUGCGUAAAAGCUUACUUCGCUCGGCUGCUGAAGCCACAGAUAGUGGCUCUCCUCCGUGGCUCUCCUCUCCUCGGCGCUCUGUGCGAGGCUCUACUUCUGCCCACUACUUGGUCGCCAGCGGGGCACAAAGACGGCUUCGUUUGAUUAUUUCUUUUCUUUGGUUUAUUUUGUUUAUUUAGCGAACUGGCUAUCGGGUGAAACUUUUUAUUUUGUUUAGUUUGGAUUUGGUUGUUAUUUUAGGGAAGUUUCUUGUUUUUUUCGUUUUUUGUUUUUUUUUCUGUUAAUAUCUUGUAUAGUUAUAUCCGGGAUUUCGUUUGCCAUUUAGUUUAUUACCCAAUUAAAUUAGGUUUAUUUAUUUAUUUAUUUUUUUGUGGUUGUGUGUGUGUGUGCGUAUGAGUGUGCUGUAUGUGUGUGUGUGUUUUUUUUUUUUUAGAAUAGGUCAUUUAAAUCAAUUCUUAACAGAACUCCAUAUAUUGCUUUUGAGUGAUCAACCAUAUCAUUGAUUUCUUCUUUCUUUUUCAGGAGCUUGAAACAGACUUCCCCGGUGGUGGCCACCCCCUUCACUCCCUUUAGUUGCCGUGGCACGUGGUGUUUGGUUUGUAGUGAUUUCUUUUGGUUUGCAGUGGGUUUCUUUGGUUUUGAAUUGUUUUCCUUUUUAGGUUAGUCUGUUUGUGACCAAGUCUCCUUGUUCCUGCUUUUGUUUAGUUACUGCAUUUAUUGUUUACUGGUACUCAUACGAUUAUCCUUCAUAUUGUGUUCUUUUAAAAUUAGGAGUUUUAAUCAAUAAAAUCGUUUAAUUCUUUUUGGAAGUCCGUCUCUCUUGGUGUCUCUGUUUGGGUGUAACGAAUCUGUGUGACCUUUAGUGAGAGGGUCUGUUGUAUUUCCUGGGGUGAAACUCCCCAGGUGGCGUUGUUCGGCAACAAAAUACUUAAUCUCUCCCCCCCUCCAUUACGCCACAUUAGCAAAGAUGAAGGUUAAAACAAAGACGUUUAUCAAACUGUUAAAGCACACAAACCAUUGUCAUAUGAGAGAUCAGACGCUAUGACUCUCCAUAAGUUGUCCUUCAGGUCGUUAUCUUUG